rnacentral:lncRNA from 1 species
GCAUGUUUAAAUCUCGAUAUGCCCCUCUUGUUUGUGACUGGGAUGCCGAGGAUCACAAAGCGGGUGUGAAUUACCAUGCAAAUUCACAUGGUGCCUUCAUUGUAACAAUCACCUAUUCGAUGUGCCGGUAAACCACACACGCUCCAUCGAACUAUGAUAAACAAUGAAUCACCCUUUGCCACCUUCGCUUAGAACCAAUUAGUGUGCCGGUAAACCACACACGCUCCACUAACAUCUUAGCAAGGUGCAAAGUGUAAUUUCAUGGGAUUGCAUCAAUUCACUUUUCCUAAAGUAACUAGGAUUGGGAAAUUUUAAAAAAAUGUGUAGUUACUUUAUAUUUCUUAUUAUACUUUUAAUGAGAGGAUGAGGUUGCCCUAUCCUACCCGUUCGGCUAACGACCCUCCACCAAUCAAGCAAGCGGUGGGUGUGAGUGUACACCCAUUAAGCGCCAUUUUAUAGGCCGCAACCUUAUACCCACCUUAUAGAUCGGCUUCGUGAAUGAGGCCUACUAACGGUAAGACUAGCAUUUAGUUAUACAUAUAUAUAUUAUUCUAGUAAUAUCAUAUUAGUAUAGGGUUGUAUUUUAAAACUUUUAAAAUCUAGGGUUUGAAAUUUAAGUUGUCUAAAUUAAAACUUUUAAUCACAAAAGUAAAUUUCAAAACAUGAGGGUAGGUUUUAAACAUUUAAAACAUGGAGGAUCAAAUAACAAAUAAUUCCAAUUAACAAUUAAUAUCCUAAUUAUCUAUAUUUGAUUUAUUCAAGAUUUCUUUUAAAGAUAAUUACCAAAAUAAUCAAAAUAAUUAAUUAAUUAUCAUAUAAGGAAAUUAAAUAUUUAAUUAGUUGAUAAUUACCUUUAACUAGAUCAAGAUAAUAGUUAUAUUUAUCAGAAAAACGAAUUAAUGUUGAUCUAAUUAGUUUAUGGUAAGUUAAGAUAAGAUAAACACAAAGAAAUCCCGAAUCUGGCCAUUCCUGACGCCUGGACUCGCCGAGUGCACAAAUGGACUCGCCGAGUCAGGCCUACUCGCCGAGUCCACUUUGAGACUCGCCGAGUCCAUGACUCAGAAACAUAAAAUUCGAAUUUUUCAAGCAAGAUUCAAACAAACAAGCAACAAUUUAAUAGAAACCAAUCUAGGCUCUGAUACCACUGAUGGGUUUUGGCCAUAUGAACAUUCCUAUGUGCACAUGCAAACCCUAAUGCUUGGAUCUAGGUUUCUCUAAUUAAACAUGCUUUGAAUCCAAGACUUCUAAUGACUAAUUAGGUAUAAGAACAAUACAAAAUCAGAUCUAGAAGUUUACCUUUGAAUCUCUUGUUUGAUCUUGUUGUCUUGGAGCUCUAGAGUCACAAUUGUCACUCCUCUAAUGGCUUACAAACACCAACUAGCAAGGAGGAUGAUUUGAGAGAGAGGUUAGGGAAUAAAUCGGCCAGGGGUACUUUACUUUUGAAGAGAUGCCGAUUUCCCUUGCCCUAGGGGUCUAUUUAUACUUGUAAGGCUCCUAGGGUUUCACCAUUAAACCCUAGUUGGUUAAUCUUUCCUUAAAGCAAUCCAAAUCCUUUCCAAAGAUAAGCCUUGGACGAAUUUGAGGCUAUCCCAAGCCCUAGAAUUCAUCCAUCCUCUAUCCAAGAAGGAUUUACAGCCCAAAGUGUAACUAUCAAACAAUUGACAGUUUACACCCUCUUAUUUAAUUAAUCUCUUUAAGUCACCAAAUUAAUACUAAUUAAUCUAUGACUUAUGUUAAUCAAAUAACAAUAUUAUUAUUCCUUAUAUUAUUCUCAUAAUAUAUUAAUAAUAUUUAUUCUCUCAUAAUAAAUCAUCCUGUCAAGUUGCUAUGGUGAAGGCAACCCAAAAGGAUCAUGCACAAUCGGGUCAAAUACUUGCCUAAUAUAGUUGCAGCCUUAGACACUAUUCCAACAACAUGCCCAUAAAAAACUUAUAUUACCUCAUAUCUUUCCUAAAUUCAUCAAUCUUUUGUUGUAUGUUAGGCCUACAAUUACCCCUAUAUUUGGUUACCUCUUGACCUUGAUGAAAAAACCUUUUCAUAAGGAGAAUCCUUAUUUCCUCAAGCAUUAUGAGUAGAGGCUUCUUCCUUAUUUCUUUGAUCAUGUCAUUGAAACAUUAUGCAACCUCAUUCUCUACUGCUUCACAAGCAUACCCAUGAGAAAAGAAUGCCCUGCACCAGGUUUCAGGUUUCCUUGCCAUAAGAUAGGUGUAUCCUGUUUCUGUUACCUUCUUUAUCUUCUCCAUUGUAGCAAGAAAAUCCCCUUCCACUAUACUCAUAGCAGCUUCCCAGAACAAAUUCUUUAGCUCUAAUCCUGUGUAUUUCUUCCUAAAGUUUUCAAAGAUGUGUCUAGCACAUUAUAUGUGCUCAACAUAGGGGAGUAGGUCUGCCACAGCUUGUAGAAGUCCCUAUAAUUAACAAACAAACACAACACAUGUAAAAAUUAAUGAGUGUAACAUAGAAAUAUAUAUUGUAUGAUAGUUUAUGUUGUGGUAGCUUGUGUUGGUCUGAGAUAACAACCAAUCCAUUGCCAGCACCAAGAUCCAAAUCAGCAACCAAAUUCUCAGUGAACCAGGUCCAGUUGUGCUUAUUCUCAACAUUCAAAACUGCCCAUGUUAUUGGGUAGACAUGGUUGUCUGCAUCCCUCCCAAUAGCAGUUAAAAUCUCCCCUUAACCCGCCCCUUCAAGAAACUACCAUCUAGUCCUAUUACCCUUCUACAUCCUCUGUUCCAUCCAUCUCUAAAAGCCUUGAAGCCAACAUAAAACCUUUUGAAAUAGUUACACCUCGGAUUACUUUCUACCCCCACCAAGCAAGUUGUACCCGGAUUACUCAACCUAAUUGCAGCUGCAUAGUCCCAAACCUUGGCAUAGUGUUAUUCUAACUUCCCUUCUAUCAUCCCCAUUGCAGUAUCCCUUGCUCUUUGGCAUUGCCUAACAGAUACACUCACUGAAAACCUUUGUAGCACAUAUGCUUGCAUCUCUAGCAAUGUCAUAUUGGGCUUCAUGAUUACAUCUUUUAGGUAGCGUUUGGCUAACCAAUUGCUAGUAACUAGGGAACCAAAAUGAUAAUUCCUAGCACACAGAUACAUUCAUCACAAAAUUUUGAUCUGGAAUGUCCUUUCAUCGUACUUCCAUCCAGCUGCAACCCUAAAUGGACACUGCAUUUUUUUUAUUAUCACUGCUUCCACUACCACACUUAGUUAUAACCCUCACUCUAUCACUUUUUUCAAAAUAAAGUUGGUACCCUCCAUGGACUGCAUAGUUAGUUAAAGCAAAACCUGAGUUGAGCAGGGGAUUCAUAACAGUCUCCUAAUCGGGGCCUCAUCUCUUUCCAGUCAAGAUUGGGAUCAUGCACCAUAUACUCCACACCAACAUCUUCAUCAUCCUCAUCUAAGUGGGCAUGCUCAUUUUGUUGGACACCAGGAAUGUCUCCAUCAUCCACCAUUCCAUAAAUAUCCCUCCUUAAUAUGUUUUCGUCAAACUGUAAGUUAAGAAAAUGAUCAUCAUAUAGUUUUGAGGGGGCUUUGAAAUUUUCUUCAGAAAAAUCCAAGAAGCUAAAGUCAAAUACAUCAUCAUCGGAGUAAGAGUCUGGAAGGUAUGUCUUCUCAGGGAGCUUAGGCUCUUUAUGCUUCUUAGUUCCAGAAGUAGAAGCCAUCUGUUUCAUCAAAAAAAAAUAACUUGUGUAACGCCUGUAGAUCCAGACUAGUCAAUUUACGGACGAUAAGAAUCAAAAGUGACUUUUUGAUAAAAGAUUAUUUAGUCAAAAUUAGCCGACGGAGUCUAAAUGAAAGUAAAUUCAAAAUUAGCCAACAGAGUCUAAAUGAAAUUUGUAGAGCAUAGUCUCGCCUACACGUGGAUAUAAAGAACGUCAAAAACGGAGCUCGUAUGCGAAAGAUACGAAAUUUUGAAGUUUAGAAAUGUGGAGUACGCCCAGCGUACUCAUGGUUCAUGGUCUGGGUUGGGCCACAUCGCCCUACUCCGCCACUCGAGUGCCCCGGUUCCAUAAGCAGUGACGCAUUCGUUCUGAUCUGCUUAGUACGCCCAGCAUACUCGAUGUACGCCCAACGUACUGCUUGUAGAGGGAGUACGCCCAGCGUACUCUGAAGUUACACCCAGCAUACUCUGAAGUUAUGCCUGGCGUAAUCGCAGGGGUCAGCCCCUAUAAAUAGAACUCAAGGGCUGCCGAGUUUUGUUGCUCAUUUCUUUCCUCUCACUUCUUAUUCUCUCAUUUUACGUGCAAAAUAUACCCCCGAAGCCAUGGUAUCAUCCUGACACCCGAAGCAAGUCCCGAAGCCCUGAAGAUCCCGAGAAAUAGAGUUGUCGAGCCGAAACUCUGCCCGUGAAAAGCUUGGUUUUUGGAAGAUAUCCCGGUUUCAUCGAAGAUUAUUAUUUUAAGAGUCGUAGUGCUGUCCGAACAUCGUCUUAUCAUGUGAGUGCAUGGUCCCUUUUAUGAACAUGAUUUUAAUACAAGUAUUGUUUGAAUGUAUUAAGUAUAUGUUUUGUGUGAGUUAUUUGAUGAUGUCGGAAUUAUGUGUUAAAGAACAUACCUGAUUUUUUUAUGAUAACUUAGGUUAAAGAGUAAACCUAAGGUUUGUUAUAAUGGUUAUGGGGUAGUAUUUCUUUAUGAGUACGAGCGAGAUAUAUACGGAGAAUAGAAAUUUAAAACAUGUCAUAGAUCCGGAAGCAUGGAUUAGACAUAGUUAUUUGUCCCUAGUCCGAGAGUAUGUGUAACAACCCAAUUUUCAUGUCCAAAAAUUUCAUUUUUAAAUCAAUACUUUGGAAAGCAUUUGUAAAUAAAACAUUGUCUGAUCAAAUCUUUCCACAAUCAUAAAUCGUGUUUGAAAACCAAAAUACGAAAUCAACUAAAUAUCAGAGUACAAAUCCCAAAACAAUCUCGUAAGGCGGAAACGGUGUAUGUGUAUAAUGUAUCGCUACCGCGCCAGCUCCUUCCCCUUCGACGAAGAUGUACCUGAAACCAAAACUGAAAACUGUAAGCACGAAGCUUAGUGAGUUCCCCAACAUACCACAUACCAUACAAUUAUAUAACCUACAGUACAAUCAUAUAUCAUACCAUACUUGUCAGGCAUUUCUGGGGUGCCCGACCUACCCGGUACGACCAUUCUGGGGUGCCGACCUACCCGUGCGGCCAUUCUGGGGUGCCGUCCUACCCGUGCGGCCAUUCUUGGGUGCCGACCACCCUUCGGUCCUAACAACCGAACCUCAGGGACUGUUUCACCCCUACCACUACUAUUAUCACAUAUCAUAACAUAACAUAUUAUCAGACAUAUCUGGGGUGUCUGACUACCCUUCGGUCCUAACAACCGAACUCGGGGACUGUUCCCCUCCUACUACCCCUCACACAUAUCUCAAAUCAUGCUAGCAUAUAAUCAUGACAUCACAUACUGUCAGACGUAUCUGGGGUGUCUGACUACCUUUCGGUCCUAACAACCGAACUCUACCACUAUAAAACAUCAAGCUAGCAUAUAACAUAUCAGGUAGCAGAAAACCUAGAUGAUAUCACAAAGACAAUCAUCUAACAUACAACUCCUACUGGUGGGCCGGCAUUGUGGUCGUAGACCCACCGCUACUGGAAGGUAACUCACCUCGAAGUAGCUGCUGAUCUGCACGGGAACUGUCUGUCUGUUGCCACUGCUCCGGAAAUCCUCCGACUGUAAAUCCCACGAAACACUCAAUCAAACACUGCUAACUGUCCUUAGGGUAAAAUGACCAUUUUACCCCUGACCAAGUCAAAAGUCAAAGUCAAAGUCAGCUUCCAAUUGACCCGACUCGCCGAGUUGGCUCGCUAACUCGUCGAGUCCCUAUCCAGUCGAUUGUCCUCACUCCCGUCCCUAAUCGUCGAGUUAGGUAUUGACUCGAUGAGUUCUCCUUCUAUACAGAUAUCCAAUAGUCCUUCAUUCGACUCGCCGAGUUGUAUGAACAACUCGUCGAGUUCAUCUUCAUCCGAUGAACACUUUGGUCCGCGACUCACCGAAUUGUAUGAUCAACUCGCCGAGUCUGUUCUUGAGGCAAGCAGAUUACCUUGGACUCGCUGAGUCAGGGCAUUGACUCGCUGAGUCCCUCCAUUACUGAGUCUGGCUUCCGACUCACUGAGUCCACUUAAAACUCACUGAUCCCACUCAGUGUAACUCAAAAGGGGGAAAAAUCGGGAACUUGCGACUCGACUCGCCAAGUCCGAAGAACGACUCGACGAGUCGCAUGCAUGCAACUACUAUAUACUCGAUUCUGAUUGAAUCCAAUGCAUCCCAUUCAUAGAUCUGGGUUCUUAGGGUACGUUUUACAUGUAAAGUUUCCAACUUUACGUGUAUUCAUGCAUCAAAAGGGAAAUAAGAGGCUUAACAAGGACUAGAAGAGAAGAUAUAGGACUUAUGCACAAGUUAAGCUCAUAAAGGCAAUAGAUCCGAGCUCCUAGAGCUCAAUCAUGCCUAGAUCUGAAGUCCCUUAACACUAUAAGCUCAUUACUCAAAGAUCAAGACUAGAAGAGGCCUCAAAAUGACUAUCUUAAGCUCUUAAUGAGAUAAUAAUGAAGGAACAGAGAGGGUUUCGAGUCUAAUACCUCUAGAAGCUCUGAAAUGGCACAAAGAUUCUAGAUCUUCUUCCUCUCCUCUUGAUCUACCUUCUUCUUUUCUCCAAAACUUCAAGGAAUUGCACCAAAAGCACUCAAAUUACUAAAAGAAGGGUUAGGGCUUCGUGAGGGGUGUUCUGGACGCAAUGGGGGCCGUUAUGAGGCACAAAAUGAUGUUUAAAUAGGGUGCAAACCUUUGAAAUUAGGGUUUCAUCCAGACUGGCGGACUCGCCGAGUCUAGAAUAUGGACUCGUCAAGUCGCCAACUUAAACGUGCUCGAUAUCUCGUCUCUACUCGGCGAUUCGGGCCUGCAACUCGCCGAGUUCCAGCUAAAAAUGCAAAAAUACUUAGAUUAAAAUACAUACCAGGAACCAGGUGCUACAGUAUGGAUUGGACUUAGUUAAUUGUCAUUAAUCUGGGAGUAUGGAUUAAGACAUAGUCAGUUGUCCUUAGACCGGGAGUAUGGAUUUAGACAUGGACCAAUUGCCCCUUAUCCAGGAGUAUGGAAUAGGCACAAUUAUGGACUCGAGAACAUGGAUUAGAUCCGGGAGCAAGAGUUAGAAUUUGAGGUCCAGGGGUAUGGAUAGUCUCGUUGAGAGGAUUGACGGUGUGGGGUAAGAGUUGAUUAUAUAUAUAUAUAUGGAAAAAAAAUNNNNNNNNNNNNNNNNNNNNNNNNNNNNNNNNNNNNNNNNNNNNNNNNNNNNNNNNNNNNNNNNNNNNNNNNNNNNNNNNNNNNNNNNNNNNNNNNNNNNNNNNNNNNNNNNNNNNNNNNNNNNNNNNNNNUAUAUAUAUAUAUAUAUAUAUAUAUAUAUAUAUGUUAUAACAUUGUGGGAUUGAAAUCCCUAUGUACUUACCAGGUUUUCCAAACCUGACCCACUCAGUUUUCUUUUUAUCAAAGGUAGUGGCACAAGAGCAUACGUUGGUUGACAUGACGAGAGAUUUUUAAUUAUAGAUGAGUACUUAUAAAUAAUUUUUGUAAGGUCUAUUUUAUAUUGUUUAUGCUUUUGGUCUGUAUCGGAACAUGACAUCCCGAGAUUUUGUUAUUUAAUGAAAAUACAUUUCUUUAAAGAAAUGUUUUGAUAAAUUCUUAUCACGUUUUGUUUUGGGAACAAAUUCCGCAACACUUUUUUCUUUAAACGAUUACUCUGAUUUUAAAACAAAACAUAAAAAAAUCGGUAUUUUCUGGCCAUGAAAUUUGGGGAUGUCACAGUUGGUAUCAGAGCAUUAGUUUGAGCGAACUAGGAAUUUGUAGGAUUUCUAGACUUAAACUUAGAAUGCUAAGUGAUGAUCGUGAGAUGAGUGUCUACCAUAUUUUAGACACGAGCACAAGUAUAUUUUAGGAAAGAUGCCUAAAAUGCUUUUAUGUGUUAAAUGUUAUAUGUUUGCUAUAUAUGAAAUUGUUUGUUCGGAUCUAUGGUCUGUUGCCGACUGGAUCUGGAAACCAUAUGUGUUUAUGAUUCUAAGCGUACAACUACGAUGUUAGAACUAGCAUGUAAACGUUACUGAGUGAUAAGGAUGAUUUGAAUAUCUAUCGUGAAUGAGGAUCUAAGUUCACAUUAUUCGGUGUAUAGAUCAGAAUGGCAAGAACCAGAAGUGGAGCUGGAAACGCAAACGAAAAAACAGGAAUGAAACACCUGUGAUUGAGCAAGUAGCUGUUGUAGCAGCAGCACCUGAACCAAUCACAAUGGAUGGAGUGCGAGCCAUGAUUCAAUCCAUGAUGGCUGAACAAAGGGAGGAAAUGAGACAAUUGUUUCUGAAUAAAAUGAGUGAACCUUCAAUACCUAUUGAACAACCGGAAUUAAAUAAUGGUCAGUUAGAGGAGGGAAAUUACAGUAGAUAUGUGGGUCAGACUGAACCGCUGGUGGAUAAGAGGAAUAAUCAAGAGGAAGGAGUUGAGAGAAAUGGAUGCAAGUACAAAGAUUUUAUGACUUGCAAGCCAUCAACUUUCACUGGAAAAGAAGAUCCCGUCGGAAUAAUGGAUUGGAUCCCAGAAAUAGAAUUAGCCUUUAUAACAUGUGGGUGCAAAGGCAAGUUACAAACCAUAUUUGCAGCGCGUCAGUUUAGAGGUGGCGUUGUUCGCUGGUGGAACACUCUGGGGAAGACCCUAAGCCCUAACGAGCCACUGCAACUGACUUGGACAGAGUUCUUGGUGCAAUUCAAGCGCAAGUUCUGCUCGGCCCAAAAUUUGCUAGAGUUGGAGAACAUAUUUCUGAUAUUGAAGAAAGACAGCAUGUCAGUUGAUGGAUACACUAAUGCCUUCACAUACAAGAUGGAGUUUGCUUUGCACAUCGUCCCAGACAAGCUGAAAAAAGUUGACCGGUACACAAAGGGACUCCCAUGGGAGUAUGUGGUGCCAGUACGUUAGACACUUACUCUGGAGGCAGCUAUCUGGGCUACCAAGUCUGUUGAAGAUAUGAUUAAGGGAAGAACCGCCAGCAAGGUUGAAGUUGGCGAGAAAAGAAAUUUUGAAGGAUCCUCAAGGACAAGGUGAGAAGAGAAAAAUUUUGAAGUCUGGUUCGAAGAAAUUCGAAGAAGAAGAACAAUGGUGUGAUAAGUGCAAGAGGAAGCACAUUGGGAGAUGCUCUAAAGAAAUGACCUGCUUCAAAUGUGGGAAGACUGGUCAUUAUGCCAGCAAAUGCACAAACAAAAGAGAAACCUGCUUUAAGUAUGGUGAAGAAGGACACUUCAAGCAGAACUGCCCAAGAAGGGAAGAGAUUACAAAGCCAAAUGUCCUGCCAAAGCCAAAGGCAAGAGCAUUUCAAAUGAUCCUUGAUGAAGCAGAUGACAAUGCGAGGGAUCAAGGAUGAGGGUUUUAUAUCCAAAGAUCAAGUAAUGAAGUAGUAGUGUGAAUAGUAACCUAUGGUGUAGCCUAUUAGAGGCAUAAUAUAGGGUGAACUUGAACUUUUGUGUAAUAGUUUCAAGAAAAUAAUAUAAAUCCUAGUUUUGUUAUCUGGUGUGUUAGAUGAUUGUGUGAUUUUCUUGUGAGGCGACUUGGAUUGAAUGUGGGGAAAUACUUGGGACGAGUAUGAGUAGGUGUGAAUGGUAGUAAAGGCCUAUACUACCUGAAGCACAUGACUCACGCUUGGAUUAGGGAAAGUCACAAGGUUACCAAGAAGCUAGUGAUUAGUCUCGUUUUAUUCAAGUAUGUCAUUACCAUCGUUUCAGUAAUGACUAAUGAGAUGAUUGUUAUUCCAACCCUAGUGUUCAUAUAAAAUUGAGUCCAACUACGAUGAGUUUGUUACGUGGUUCAUAGAACAAGUUCAAUGUAACAUCUGACUUAAGUCAGAAGAUUGAAAUCAAGGCGAUCGAUGGCAUCACACUCGUUGUUAAGGAAGCUUGUAGCUAGAAAUGCUACAUACAAAAAUGUGAUUAUAUUACAUUAGAAUAUGAAGGAAGGUAUAUUCCAUUCUGGAAUUUGACUCUAAGAAACUUGAGUCUAAGCGUUGUUACAUACGAUGAGAGAUCAUUAGAGCAUGACCCAUCGAUCUGUUACAAUUGAUAAAGGAAAGUACUUAUCCUAAGAAGAAGAAGGAUUCCUCAAUAGGAUUUAUUUUGUAACUCGUAGGUUACGAUUGAAAGUCCAACAUAGUACGAAGGGCAGGUGCAAGAUUGAGCAUCGCCUGCGGUCAAGAAGCCCAAGAGUUAGAUACUCAUUCGAAGAAACAUAUAUAUUACGGUUAUUACUUAGGAUGGAAAGAUAACGUAUGGAAUCAUUAUACAAGUCCUAUUUUCGUUGAUGAUUUCGGGACGUAAUCAUCCUAAGGGGGAGAUAAUUGUAACGCCUGUAGAUCCGGGCUAGUCAAUUAGGGACGAUAAGAAUCAAAAUUGGCUUUUUGAUAAAAGAUUAUUUAGAAUGAAUCAUCUUAACUAGGUUGUAGUGGUCAUGACAAGGAUUCCGGAUAUAUAAAGAAUGCCGAAAUCUGAGUUAUAACGAAGAAGUUAUGACCUGUCGAAGUGUUGUGACAGAAUCGGUACGAAACUGCAGGACGUAAAUAAUGAAUUUAUAAUAGUGUGGUAUUUAGCCUUAGUAAUCUAAACAAAAGUCGUAUAAUAAGUUAAACCGAGAGUGUGCAUAAAAAGAAAGUCUAAAUCUGACUUCGUAUGAGGAAGUUAUGAUUUUUCGAAAUUUCGACUUAGCGGUAUGCAUCCCAAAGUUCGAAUAUGAGAUUGAAUGAUUUCUAGCCGAAACAAUCUAAAUGAGAAUCGAAGAUCUCGUUAAUAGUAGUGCAACGGUAAAAAGACAGACGAAAUUGAAUGUCACAAUUGCAAUGAUCUAUCCCCAUCACGAUGAAAUUUCAAAGAUUUCCCGGGCCUGUNNNNNNNNNNNNNNNNNNNNNNNNNNNNNNNNNNNNNNNNNNNNNNNNNNNNNNNNNNNNNNNNNNNNNNNNNNNNNNNNNNNNNNNNNNNNNNNNNNNNNNNNNNNNNNNNNNNNNNNNNNNNNNNNNNNNNNNNNNNNNNNNNNNNNNNNNNNNNNNNNNNNNNNNNNNNNNNNNNNNNNNNNNNNNNNNNNNNNNNNNNNNNNNNNNNNNNNNNNNNNNNNNNNNNNNNNNNNNNNNNNNNNNNNNNNNNNNNNNNNNCGGUCGUACUCAUAACCGCAUCAGGUCUCUAAGGUGAACAGCCUCUGGUCGAUGGAACAAUGUAGGCAAGGGAAGUCGGCAAAAUGGAUCCGUAACCUUGGGAAAAGGAUUGGCUCUGAGGGCUGGGCAUGGGGGUCCCAGUCCCGAAACCGUCGACUGUUGGCGGACUGCUCGCAUGGAGGAGUUAUGAAUUUUUAAUGGACUUUUUCUGUCCCAACCUGUUAAAAAUAUAAUAAUAAAAAUAAAGUCCAAUUAGCCGACAGAGUCUAAGUGAAAGUUGUAGAGCAUAGUCUCACCUACGCGUGGAUAUAAAGAAUGUCAAAAACGGAGUUCGGAUGCGAAAGAUACAAAAUUUUGAAGUUUGGAAAUGCGGAGUACACCCAGCGUACUCAUGGUUCAUGGUCUGGGUUGGGCCACAUCGCGCUACUCCACCACUCGAGUGCCUCGGGUCCGUAAGCAGUGACGCAUUCGGUCUGAUCUGCUUAGUACACCCAACGUACUGCUUGUAGAGGGAGUACGCCAAGCAUACUCUGAAGUUACGCCCAACGUAAUCACAGGGAUCGGCCCCUAUAAAUAGAACUCAAGGGUUGCCGAGUUUUGUUGCUCAUUUCUUUCCUCUCACUUCUUAUUCUCUCGUUUUACGUGCAAAAUAUAUCCCCGAAGCCCUGGUAUCAUCCCGAUACCCGAAGCAAGUCCCGAAGCCCCGAAGAUCCCGAGAAAUAGAGUUGUGGAGCCGAAACUCUGCCCACGAGAAGCCCGGUUUUUGGAAGAUAUCCCAGUUUCAUCGAAGAUUAUUAUUUUAAGAGCCGUAGUGCUGUCUGAGCAUCGUCUUAUCAUGUGAGUGCAUAGUCCCUUUCAUGAACAUGAUUUUAAUACAAGUAUUGUUUGAAUGUAUUAAGUAUAUGUUUUGUGUGAGUUAUUUGAUGAUGUCGGAAUUAUAUGUUAAAGAACAUACCUGAUUUUUUAUGAUAACUUAGGUUAAAGAGUAAACCUAAGGUUUGUUAUAAUGGUUAUGGGGUAGUAUCUCUUUAUGAAUACGAGCGAGAUAUAUACGGGGAAUAGAACUUUAAAAUAUGUCAUUGAUCCGGAAGCAUGGAUUAGACAUAAUUAUUCGUCCCUAGUCCAAGAGUAUGGAUUGGACUUAGUUAAUUGUCAUUAAUCCGGGAAUAUGGAUUAAGACAUAGUCAGUUGUCCUUAGUCCGUGAGUAUGGACAUGACAUAGAAUUUGUCAUUAGUCCGGAAGUGUGGAUUUAGACAUGGAAUGGGCACAAUUAUAGACUUGAGAAGAUGGAUUAGAUUCGGGAGUAAGAGUUAGAAUUUGAUGUCCAGGGGUAUGGAUAGUCUCGUUGAGAGGAUUGACGGUGUGGGGUAAGAGUUGGUUAUAUAUAUAUAUAUAUAUAUAUAUAUAUAUAUAUAUAUAUAUAUAUAUAUAUAUGUGUGUGUGUGUGUGUGAUUANNNNNNNNNNNNNNNNNNNNNNNNNNUGUGUAUUCUAAAUUAUAUAUAUAUAUAUAUAUAUAUAUAUAUAUAUAUAUGUGUGUGUGUGUGUGUGUGUGUGUGUGUGUUAUAACAUUGUGGGAUUGAAAUCCCUAUGUACUCGCCAGGUUUUCCAAACCUGAUCCACUCAGUUUUCUUUGUAUCACAUGUAGUGGCACAAGAGCAUACGUUGGUUGACAUGACGAGAGAUUUUGGAUUAUAGAUCCAGUAGUUAUAAAUAAUUGUUGUAAGGUCUAUUUUAUAUUGUUUAUGCUUUUGGUCUGUAUCGGAACAUGACAUCCCAGAAUUUUGUUAUUUAAUGAAAAUACAUUUCUUUACAAAAAUGUUUUGAUAAAUUCUUAUCACGUUUUGUUUUGGGAACAAAUUUCGCAUCACUUUCUUUAAACGAUUACUCUGAUUUUAAAACAAAGCAUAAACAAAUCGGUAUUUUCUGGCCAUGAAAUUUGGGGAUGUCACAACUUGUUAGUCCAAACUUGGAACUCCAUUGACGAAGAUAACCACCCUCAGAAUCAUCAAUUUCUUGUUUCCAUACACGUACAUUUUACUCCACCUUACUUCGUCAACGAUUUCGGAGCUUCAAAUUGCAAAAUUGGGGACUGUGAAACCCUUCUCAGCAUCAAACCAUUCUCGAGUGCAUGUAACCCUUUAACAAUGAUGGUUCGUGAAAGGUGAUGGCUAGGGAAUAACUUAGUGGUGACCGAAUGGUACAGUUUACCUGCUGGUGACUGGGUAUAAGCUCUCAAACGAUAAUUCCACGAAAAUAUCGUGGUCACAGUAAAUGAAACAUUAAAUUCAUGGUUUUUUUCAAUUUAAUGUCAAAAACAUGAGACUUUUAGUGAUAUUAGUGGUGAUAAGUAACUACACAUUUUUUAAACUCAAUUCCAAACAAAUUUAUGUAAUUUUCUCUUUAUACUACUUAGAGUUUUUAAUCAUCCACCUUAAGGGCAUUUUCGUCACACCCACAAACCCACACACUCACAUUCCUCCCCAUACUCUCCCUCAUCCCUCUUUUCCCCUAUAUAUAAUAUUCAGACACCUGGAAGCUCAGAUUCAAACAUCAUUCGAAACUCAGAAAGAAACAGAUACUUCAAAACUAAAGAGAGAAAUCAUGAGGACAAGCAACCACCUGAUUGGCUUACUAAACUUUCUCACCUUCUUGCUCUCAAUCCCCAUUCUCGCCGGCGGCAUAUGGCUGAGCACCCGCGCCAACAACUCCGACUGCAUGAGCUUCCUCCAAUGGCCCAUAAUCGUCAUCGGCGUCUCCAUCAUGGUCGUCUCACUCGCCGGGUUCGCCGGCGCGUGCUAUCGCAACACCUUCCUCAUGUACCUUUACCUCUGGGCUAUGUUCGUCAUUAUUGCUGUCCUAAUCGGGUUCAUCAUAUUCGCCUACGCCGUCACCGAUAAAGGAUCUGGUCGACCCGUAAUGAACCGGGUUUACCCGGAUUACUAUCUUCAGGACUAUUCGGGUUGGCUCAAGGAUCGGGUCGCUAGUGAUAGCUACUGGGGUAAAAUCAGAUCAUGUAUUCAUGAUUCUAAAGCGUGUGCGAAAACGGGUCGGAUCAUUGGUGGGUACCCGGAAACUGCAGACAUGUACUACCUUCGAAAGCUUAACCCCAUUCAGGUUAGUGUGUUUUUCAAAUAAAAGUAUUUACUUAAAAAAAUGAGAAAUUAAAUAUACUUCUACUUUUUGUUCCUAAAUAUCUUCCUACCCAAUGAAAUGAUGACACGUAUAACAUUUAAUGUUCAUUUAAUGAGAUUUAAUGAUAUUUUAGGAUACUAAUAUGACACAUGUCAUCAAUUAAAUGGGUAGGAAAAUUUGUAGGAUUAAAAGGUAGGAGGAUAUUUAAUUUCUCUAAAAAAAUUAUUAAAAAGUUAAAUACGAAAGGAAAUCCGGUUUAUUAUAUGUAAACAUAUAUUAUGAUAUGUAAAUUUAUUUAUUUAAAGAUAAAUUAACUAUAAACUGCAUCGAAUAAGCAAUGUAUUUGUUAUUAUUUUAUUUAUUAUAAAUAUUUCCAAAUAUUGAAUUUCGUGGAAACCUGGUUCUAUUACAAGUACUAGCAUUUAAAAUUCAGAAGGUCGGUGCCAACUGUCAAGUUGCCAAAUUAAUGAACCCAAACGGUUAUACAAAGCAGUUUGGGUAGUUAUAUCUAGCAAAUAAGGAGCUUAAAUAUCCAAAGUUUAAAAUUCAUUUUCUUUUUAUAACGAAAAAUAUUUACAUUUUUUUUAUUUAUGUAUUUAUGUGAAGGGCAAUUUUACAUAAGUUUUGGGUUACGAUUCUAAUAAAAAGAAAAAAAAAAGCUGUUGUAUUCAAGAGUCAAGACGUAAUGGACAUGAUAAAACUAGUUAAACAAUAUUUUAAAAUUUGAAGAUUCUUUAAUUAUUUAAAUUCCAUUAUGAAAAUAUAAAAGUAAGAAAAGCUUAUUCCACUCUACAUUUUCAAAACGCUUUUCAAGUAGGAGCGAGUGUUUUUGGGUGACAGACGCGAAAAGACAAAACUACCACUUGAUAAUUGAUAUAUUAUUGAUUUUCAUUUUAAUCAAUAAGAAUCCUUUAUUGUUCUAUAUAUUUGAUUAAUAAACAACCAUUCUCUUGUUACCACUAAAAAAACUUGUUUACUCUUUAAUAAACACAAAAAGACGAAAUUGCCACACCCGAAACAUUUGUUAGCGCCAUUGUCUGUCACGCUUAUGGGACAAUUCACAUGCAUAGAACAGAGUGUCUCACUUUAAAUAUAAAGUGCAAUAUUUGAAAAUAUACAAAAAAAGGGUAACCAAUUAUUUCAUCAAGAAAAAGAAUAACUUUUUAUAUCAUCACGUGUGACAUGACAUGAUUAGAUUUAUCCUAUAUAAGAUGAGAUUUAACGGUCAUCUUAUUUAUCUGGAACAAAAAUUGCAAUUUUUGAAACGCUGGUUUUACAGUCUGGAUGUUGCAAGCCACCGACAGAGUGCGGGUACAUCUACAUAAAUGAGACCGUGUGGAACCCAGUGAACGCCGCCACCAUGGCCACCAAUCUAGACUGCAACCGGUGGACCAAUGACCAAGAACAACUGUGCUACAACUGUAACUCGUGUAAAGCCGGGGUGCUUGCGAGCUUGAAGAAGAGUUGGAGGAAGGUGUCAGUGAUCAAUAUUGUUGUUUUGAUCAUCCUUGUUAUUGCAUAUGUGAUUGCUUGUGCUGCAUUUAGGAACAAUAAGAGGAUUGAUAAUGAUGAACCUUAUGGUGCUACAAGGAUGGAGAAGUCACGACCCACUCGGAUACAUUUCUAGUGUAUUUUGUUCUUGUUUGGAUUUCAAAUGAUUUUUGUUCAUUUGAUGGUGAAAUGUUGUUACUUUCGGAUAUGUUUUCAAGUUUAUGUUUUUUGGAGGUUGGAUUCGUGUAGAUAUGGUAGAUUUGUUCUUAGUUUGAAGAAAAGUUUUAAAGUCUAAAGGUGGUUUAAGGUUUUAUUGAAGAUCUUGUAACCUAGAAUAUGAUUAGACUUAAUUGAUAACCAGUUUAUUAUUUAUUUGCUAGUAUGUAUCUCAACAAAAAUACUUUACAUUCAAAAUUUUGAGGGGUUGUAGAAAAAAGUAUAUGUCAUGUAGCCCUUGCUGAUACAUCAAAGGCCAAGAUGAGCAAGACAAGCAUAGUGCUAGCACGAUAUUGUCCAAAGCCAUGAAACUGCCCAAAUACAUAAAGCCACUUGGGUCUAGUCCAGCCCAUGUUAUAGUCUAGACUCUAGAGGAAUGUCUCUUUGUAGAAUUAAUGAUAGGGUAAAAAACAACACUGUUAUGUUUAUUUUUAUAUAUUUGGCUAUUAAAUUUGUUUAUUAUGUUUACAAAAUCUUAUCAUGACUGAUUAAUGGUAAUAUUUAUAUAAAAAAUAUAAGUGAUUGAAUAUGCAUAUAUAAUAAUUUUUACACUUUCGGCCUAAGUUUUAAAUUUUUUUACGAUUUUGGUCCCCACUUUCCACUUAUGUUUUUUACAAAAUCGACUUGAAAUUAAUACUUAUUUACAAAUUAACAUUUUAUAUUUUUUUUCUUGAACUUUUUAUACAAAAAUGCAACUUUUUCUACAAACUUUUUAAUCUUCUUUUACAACUUUUUAAUUUUUUUUUUUUUUUUUUGCACUUUCUACAUUUUUUUUCAACAUUUUCUAUAAUGUUUUUUACAACCAACAUAAAAUAUAGAUCAAAUAUGGAAAUAAACCGGAAUACAUAGGACCAUCCAACACAAAAAUUAUAUUGAAACUCAUAAAAUCAACUUUGUUACAAAUGUAGAAAGAGAAAUCACACAGAUCAAAACACAUAGAAUGAGCCAACACACUUACACAUGUCAGAACUUAUAAAAAGAGAAACUAUCAAUGUGUAAUUUCUCUUUCCAUAUUCGUGACAAAGUUUGUUUAUGGGUUUCGAUCAAUUUUUUAUGUUGGUUGAUUCUAUGUGUUUUGAUUUAUUUCCAUAUUCGGUCUAUAAUUUGUGUUGGUUGCAAAACAAUUUGAAAAAUGUUGUUCUACAUGCAGUUGUAAAAGUUGUUGUAAAAAGCGUUAUAAAAAAUUGUAAAAACAUUAAAAUAAUAUUGUAAAAAAAGUGGUAAAACAUGUAAAAAAAAAUGUUAUAAAAAAGUUGUAAAGGAAAUUAAAAAGAUUUCUACAAAAAGUUGUAAUUUUUCUAUGAAAAUUUCAAACAAAUUAGUUUCUAAACAAAAACCAAUUCCAGGGUGAUUGUGUAAAAGAAAAUUGAUUGGAAAGCUUGGACCAAAAUCAUAACAAAAUUUAAGGAUUUUGACAAACAUGUAAAAUUCAUCUUGUGUACUCAUUUUAUCACUUAUGUUUUCAUAUACAUAUGACCAUUGAACCUAUAAUAAGAGGUCAUAAUGACAAUUUGUAAACAUGAUAAACAAGUUUAAUAGUUAUAUAUGUAAAAAAUAAAAAAAAAAAUAAAAAAUAAGUGUCUAAAUAAUGUACAUAGAGCAUAAAGUUUAUUACCCUUAUAUGUCAUCGAUAACCACUAUUUGUAUUGAAUUUCUUUUGGUUUUCUUGUACUUUUGUAUUUCGUAAAAGGUCGGUGUGCUAUUUCUUUUUUUAUUUAAUUCAGUUUUAUGUUUAUGUUAUUAUUCUAAAAAUUCAUAUCUUUCGCUUAAAUAAGACAUAACAUUAGGGAUGAGCAUACGACCCGUUGGAUCGGACUGGACAUAAAAAAAAAUCGGGACCAGGCCCGGACCUGACUGGAUAUUCAUAUUAGUGGGCCGGUUUUCGAGUUUUGUUUUUACCAAUAAUCGGGUUUCGGAUUUGGACCGAACCGUACCCGGAAGAUGGGAUUUAACCCUAACCGAACCAGAAAACAUUUUCACCUUAAUUACUUUUAUAGAUAUUAGCUUAAGUUUAAAAUAUAUAAAUAAUGAUGUUGAAUUAUUAAUUAAUGUUAUAUUACAAGAUUUCUAAAAUGUAAAAUCUUUAUUAUCGGAAAUAAUUUGGCCAACCAAACAUUGUAAUGUACUUAUUGUCAAAUGUAUGUAUGUAAAGGUCAAUGAUUUAUUACAAGUUAUUUUAGUAUUGUCAUCUAAACCCAUCAAACGUUUUAGUAUGAUAAGAUUGUAUGUGUAAGAAUUUGAUGAAUCUGAUCCUUAUGUUGUUUCUCAAAGUAGCUAAAUCCAAAGAUUCUAUGAGCUCUUAAGAUAAAUUGUGUGUUUCAUUUUGCACGUAUUUUCAACUUUCAGACGUUCUGCUUGUAGUAUGGUUCAUAAGAAAGUUCGAGAUCGUUUUUUUAUAAUUAUUUUAGAAAUAGAAACUCAUAGUAGACGUUACUGCUAAUAGUUGGAUAAGUGAUAAUUUUUUAAUAACUGUAAAAUACUUGAACUGAUUUUCGCUCUAAUGUAACUCUUAAAUAUUGGCUUAAUCACUAAAAUGGACAAAAUGGAUAAGUGAGUAUUGUUUUGGACUUUUUUUAAACAUUUUCAUCUGAUUAACAUAAUGUUAGCUAACAUAUAGAGGUUAAGGAUAAUUUAAUAAUGUUGGUUUUUAGCUAACAUAUAGAGGUUAAGGUUAAUUUAAUGGAGUUGGUAGAAGAAGGAAUAGUAGGAAUAGUAGUAGUUGAGAUGGCUCUUAAAACAAAAGAUUUAUGGAAGAAAAUGACCUUAGGCCAGGUAACUUUAGUUUUAUCAUUGUAUAAUUUUCAUCUAUUAUCCAUCAAUCAUGUCAUUAAAUAAGUUAGAUAUUUGUGUCAUUAACAUAAUAUAGAUUGUCACAGAUGUUUUGAAAGCCAAAAUGUUUUAUUGUAAAGACAUUUAAUACAUAGUUAAAAAUGGGAAAGCUGCUUAGUAUUUGUGUUUCUGUGUCCUGAACUGCUAUUGAUGUUUGCAUGACCACUAGGCAUCAUCUAUUUGCAUUUGCAUCUUUCGUAUAACAUCAUGCAUUUUCAUGUAUCUUUUGUUUACCAUCUGUAGCACAUAAGGUCUUAGUAAUUUGGAUCGUAUGUGACUACUUUUAGGACAUUUAGUGUCAAUUAUUCUCAUCAAGAAUACAUACAUGCCCGAUUUAAACCCUUAGGAAGUGAGUUGAUUAUUUUCAUUUUGCUGUAGAGUUACAAAGAAGUAAUAUAUCCUUAUAUGUCAUUAUUUUCUAAAAAGUUCAGUGUCUAUUUUCUAAUUCAAUCCAAAACUCGAAACGUGGUUUAGACUCGGAAUUGGACCGGAUCGAAUUCGGACUCGAUAUACCCAAAAACGGUCCGAUUUUAGGUAAGAUAAUUCACAAUUUUUGGUCUUCAGGUCGGUCCGGUCUGGAUCCGGCCCGUUGCUCAUCCAUACAUAAUACCAAACAAAUAUACGGAAAACCGAAUACNUUGGCAUAAAGGGCAUAACAAGUUAGGCUUCGGAUAAAACUAUAAUUUGAAUAUAUAUAUAUAUAUAGGGAGAUGAUCAAAUGAGAACACCUAAAAGGUUGAGAACGCGAGAACAAUUGUAGACCAAUCAUUCCAUAAGGGCAUAAAAGGAAUUUUACAAUGUAAUUAAAUAUAGAUGAUUAAUGAUUUCCUACAAUCAUGAGAUGUUGUCUAAUUAAUUGAUUUUUUACCUAAAUAUUAUAAAUGAAUUUAAUAUGUUUUUAAUCAAAUAGAUUAUUUAAAAAAAAAACUUUUUUACCAUGAUUAAAAAACGUUUUUUUUGCCGGUAUAUCAAAAAAAUUUGAUGAAUUUAUCAUUUCAACCAAAUAUGUGUAAUCAUACAAAAAUAAAACAUAUUUGUAAUCAUAUAUGAAUCCGCUGUAAUCAUGAAUGAAUAGAUGAAUUAAGUUGUAAUAAUAAACGAAUAUAACGCAAUUUAUAGAGAAAAAUUACAAUACAACUAUAAUCAUAAAUAAAUAAAAACAUAUUGGAUAUAUAUCUAGAUUAUACAUCUAUUGAUAAAUAAUAGUAACACAAAAAGUUACAAUGUAAUACAUAUCUAUUUUUCUAUAAUCACAUAUGAAUACAACAUAAACAAAAAUUCGAAUAAAAAUAAUUAACUAUUAUUAUAUAAUCAAAAAUGAAUAAGGCGAUAAAUUUUCCACUUUGUAUUGUUUGGUUGUAUAUUAGCACUCCAACAUCCCGUUUGUAGAUGCAUCUCGAUUUCCUCUACACACUGUCAAAUAAAGAAAUAAAUAAAAUUAACAAUCAAUUAAAUGAAAAGGAUUUAGAAAAAAAAACAUAUGACAUCAAAUUAUAAAUGAAGAGACACAAACAAAAUAAAAAAUACAUAUAAAUUCCUAUAAUUGUAACUAUAUACAUACAUGAAUAUAUCACAUAUUAAUACACUUCUAAUCAUAAAUUAAUAUGAGACAUGAACAAAAAAUAAUAUACAUAUGAAUUCCUAUACUUGUAAUUAUAUUCAUACAUGAAUAUAUAUAUAUAUAUAUAUAUAUAUCAUUAACAAAAAAUGAAUACACUUCUAAUCAUAAAUUAAUAUCAUAAUAUAAAUUACCUUUGGUUCUAAAAUUGUUUGAUUCCCAUAAAUCUUUUAUCUCAUUCGAGAAACAACUGAGAAGAAGUGAAGGGAAAACAAAAAAUAACUCACCUGCAAAAGCAAUGCAUAAAACAGUUAAAUCGAGUCCGACUUCGGGAGAUGUGAAUCCGAUUUCUCUGCAAGUUAUACGGACGAUUUUCUCGUAAUCAACGUUAGCUUUGGUGGUGAUUUCACUGGUGGUUGUCGAGGCCAACACAAAUAAUAACCUUAAAUAUUACACACUAAAAUAGUAUAUAGUGGUAAAGGGAUCGAAUCCACGGAGAUUGGUUCAAUUUAUAACUCUAUGAAAAAUCUCUUUGUAAAAAUACUUAUAAAAUAACAAUAAAAAUAAAAUAGAGGGAUUUGGUGUUUUGAAAUACUUGAAACAAGCUAGAAUUAACUAUGAUUUAAAUAGACAAAUGCAACAAAAAUAAGAGUUUGAUGUAAAAUCAAUAAGGGAGAGAUGGUUGACUUAACGCCUUGUUCCCGAGUUCCACUUAAGGAGAGAAAUGGGAGGAUACGGAGGGAAAGUGAGGGGUGUCGAAGGAAAAUCGUGUUCCCGAGUUUCAUUAAUGGAAGGAAAGUGAGGGGAGGGGAAGGAUUUUAGAGUCAUAUUUUCCUUCCAAAUUUUCCUCCCAAAUUGGGCGGAUUUGGGAAGAAAGUGAGGGGAAGGAAAAUUUUAAGUUUUAUUUUCUUUUUCCUCCUGACUCGGGAACACAAAAACUAAAAAUUUUCCUUUCAUUUUCUUUCAGUUCCUUCGAACUCGGGAACACAGAAUAAUUAAUAUUUUCCUUCACCUCCCUUUCUUUCUGUCAAAAUUUUCCUUCCCUUUCCUUUAAUGAAUUUACAUAAAAACUCGGGAACAAGGCGUAAAGUUUCCUCACUUUGACUUUUGAUGAACAUAUCAUUAGAAUCCAAUGGUGCAAUACUUUGAUUUUAAUCCUUAAUUUGGCUAUAGCAAUCCAAGGAGCUUGAGAUUACCUAGACUUUUCUUAAUUUUUGAAAUGGCUNGGGGUACACCUCAUGGAUGAUAUGAUUGACUUAUCAUUAGACUUAAUGGAAUAAUACUUGUGAAUUGGUUUAACUUGGCUAUAGCAAUUCAUAAGCACAAAUUGCCUCAACUCUUCUUAGAAAUUAAAAUGGUUAGAGGAGCUCUUAACACAUUUCCUUAAUUGAAGUCACAAAAUCAAUGAAGCAUAAAAUCUUGUGAAAAUCAAUUAGCUUUAAGUUGUAAGAGUUACCAAGUCCAAAAGAUAAUCAAAUGCUUACAUUAUCAUUAUGGAGGAAACAUUUCCAUGGUCUAAAUGAAAUGAAAACAAACAUAUAAACCACUUGUUGCUUACUAAUUUGAAGGUCUAUUACUUAACCAAGAAAUUAGUCAACAAAAACAAGCAUUCAUUCAUCCAAGCUCAUGAUCAAAGAUAAAUAAACACAACAAGAUGUUUAACUAGAAAACAUUCCCAUAAACAUCAAACACAAAUGUAAUGAUAAGUCUUCAAAGCAAAUAAUCAUCCAUGGGUUAAACCCUAAUCAACCAAAUGAAAAUUUAGCCAAGCAUGGCCAAUGUAAAAGAAAAACAAUAUAGUUUAGUGGUAUCAAACAUUGUCUUAGAUGCAAGAUGAAAUGAAAUUACACUAAUCUUCCAAAAAUUCUUCAAAUCUUCCAAAACUCUUUGAGAGAGUAUGGUGUGUGUUCUUCAAGUCCUCUCCUUCCUUCUUGCUUCAAAACUCCAGUAAAAGUGGUCAAAAAUCGGAUCCAAAAUUGCCCAAAAGUAUUCCACCAACUUUCCCCAAAUAGAGGCAAAAGGCUAAAAUUCGGGUUCUUCACAAUGCGAUCCACGCGGACCGCGUGGAUUCUGUUGAAUGGGCUUUUUGGCCCAUUUAAUUGGCACUUCUAGAUUACUCUUCUCAUCUAUGGUCCAUCCCGUUUGUGCAAGUUCUUGAUAGCCCAAUUAUGUCUUCCAAACUCUUCCAAGAUGCUCCAAUGCUCCUUUAAUCUUCUGUAGCUUGAAUUCUCGUCGUCCCACCCGAAAUUUAAGUCUGACGUGCUUCUUGCUUAUAUUGACACCAAGCCCAAUUACACCACUUCAAGUCCAUGAACAAAUUGCAAGCCUCCAAUAGUCCCACACUCCUUCCAAAACCUCCAAUGACAAAUAGUCUUCGAUUAAUCCUGCAAAUAAGCUCAAAAGACUAGAAAGCACCCGGUAAAGGAGAAAAAUAACAAAAAGAGAAAAUAUGCAUGAAGAUUAACUAAAAUGAGAUGGAAUGUGCUACAAUAAACCAUAAAAAGAAGUAAGUAGAACAAACUAUCAAAACACCCCAAGCUUAAACCUUACUUGUCCUUAAGUAAGACAAGACUAAAAUGAACUUGGGAUGAACUAUCCUAGCGAAAAAUAAAAAGAAUUGAUAGAACCGCGGAACCUUUUCACCGUUAGUCAACAUGGUCAGAAUUGAUCUUGCUAUUACCUCACGAAUUUUUCAUCCGAUGACAAUGGAACCAUAAACCACAGCCAGGACAACUCCUUUAAGUGAGUAAGGAGGGAUGAGCAGUCGUAGCCUCAAUGGAACAUGCAUACAAUGAAGAACAUCUGUAGUAGGGAGAAAGCAUCUGGAUGGGCUCGAUCGGGUGGAGCUCUUCUUUAAAUGUACACUCUGAUCUCACGUCUGUCGGUUUCUCUCAUGUGUAACUAGGUUUAAUCGCUCAGGCACAGUUCUAGGAAUCGGUUCACUUGGUGUUGGCCCAAACCUCCCGUAGUAUCCGACUCGACAGCCUCCUAACAUCACCAAUUUGCGAAAAACAACUCGAUCUAAAUACAAUAAAUUAAACCUAUACAAAUGAAUAUCAAACGCCGAGUGAUCAAAAUGUUGGAAAAUUUUGUUCAAUAAUUGAACCGGUCAACCUUCUCAGAUUUCUAUAGCUGGGAAUUUGCCUGCCCUUUUUGUUUUUGUUUUUAACUUUUUAUUUUAUUUUAUUUUUUUGAUUUUUUUUGACUUUUUUUUUAAUUUCCAUACUUGAAGGUAAUGUAUUAACAAUCGAAAUUUUUAACAAGAAACACAUUUGACUCAAAAUUUAGUUCCUAAAAGUGUGUAAGUGGAACCGAAAGGGUAGUAAUAUAAUCCGAAUGGUCUAAGUGUGAAAAUGACCAUGUGUGGAGCAUAAAGAUGCAAUGUAAGCUCCUUUUCAAACUUGUGGUUUUUCAAAGAUAAUGAAAAUGUCCAAAUGUGGACUAAAAGACUCUCUAAAAUUCUAAGAAAAUCACAAAAAGAUAUGGUGAUGUAAAGAGACCAGAUAUGGAUUCGACUCGGGGACAAGCACCAAUGCUUCAUCCUAACAGUUCAACCAUGAUCAAGUGUGAUCCUCUCAGCGGUAGUGACCGCAAGGCUAAGAACAUCCAUUGCUAUAAUAUAUCCUACAGUUGUUAGUAUUGUAUGCAUAAUUUUUUAUGAAACUACCUGGCCAUGAUCACUUACCCCUUUAAGCUACCACNAUGAAAAUGUCCAAAUGUGGACUAAAAGACUCUCUAAAAUUCUAAGAAAAUCGCAAAAAGAUAUGGUGAUGUAAAGAGACCGGAUAUGGAUUCUACUCGGGGACAAGCACCAAUGCUUCAUCCUAACAGUUCAAACAUGAUCAAGUGUGAUCCUCUCAGCGGUAGUGACCACAAGGCUAAGAACAUCCAUUGCUAUAAUAUAUCCUACAGUUGUUAGUCUUGUAUGCAUAAUUUUUCAUGAAACUACCUGGCCAUGAUCACUUACCCCUCUAAGCUACCAGCAUCUGAUCCCAAGUAUGAAAUCCCAAACUGCAGCUAGUGGUCCCGGUUCGAUGGAUGACGUAGCAACAAGAUUCUGGACCAAUAAUGAUACAAUAACUGUGAACCUGUUCCAUGGCAUCCAAGAGAGGUAAGAAUAAACAGACAACAAAAAUGCAAGAAUGUUAAUGCCUUAAGCUCAAUGUUGUGCAAAAAUAAAAAGCGGAAAAAGAAGAAAAUAAAAUCUUUUUGAAAUUUUAUAAAAUAAAAAAUGAAUGCAAAUUAACUUAAACUAAUAUAUUAUGCAACCUAACUAAAGAAAAAUGCAUGAAAAAUUAAAAAGAAAGGGAAAUGCCCCACCCCAAGCUUAAGAACAAGCAUUGUCUUCAAUGCUUAAGGAAAUGGCCAAAAUGACCUAAAUCGGAGGGUUGGGUAGAGCAUAAGGGUUUGUAGAGGAGGGAAAAUGGUGAAUAAUGGUGGUGGUCUCGUGGGAUUCCGACCGGUAGAUCUUUGGGAAAUCGAGUUUUUGUGUGGAGCGCGGGCGGGGCGCGGGCCGCGUAGAGGCCGCGUGUAACAUUCUUGGUUUCCUCUUGAGUUCACAGAAGGUUCAGAAGAAUUUUGGGUCAAAACACGCGGGCCGCGUAAAGGCCGCGUGAACUGAAGCUCAAAAAAUACUAAGUGUUGAAACCAGCCCCGCGGGCCGCGUGGAACCCGCAUGCUGGCCGCGUGUGCUGAACAGGGCUAGAGGUGAUUGUUUUACGCGGGCAAGGAAUGGGCCGCACAUAAGCCGCACAUGACCUUAUGCGGGCCGCGUGGAUUUUCCCGCGGGCCGCGUGACUUCUUGCACCUUAAAAUUUGAAGUUUUUCAAAAAACUUGAUUUUUGUCCUAAAUGAUUCCCGCGAAGUCCCGGUUUCAAAAACACAAUAAAAGGUUUGGACCAAAGGUGAGAAUAAAGCUUGAAAUUUUUCAAAAAUGAACAUUUUCAAAACAAAAAAAAAUCAAAAUCAUUUUAUUCGGUUUUUAAAAGACGAAAGCACAAUGCUUCCCAAAAAUGUCAUUCUUUAACGUCUUUGGCGAGACGCCUCCAAACUUCACUUUAACACUUUGGGGCAUCCAAAUGGACGACAUCUUGGACAUUUGAAUCAAAACCUUCAUAGAAAGGUUUCAACCGAUGUCCAUUAACAUUGAAAAUUUGCCCCGUACCAACAUUUUUUAGUUUCCACACCUCCAUUGGGACUCUUUUCUUGUAUUUGACUUUCUUUUUACGGGAGAACCAUACCGGACUUAGACCUUUGAUAAUAGAAAGCAUCCAACCAUAUUCUUUAUUGUACUUGUUUAGUAAGGUGACCAACUCUUCCAUCUUUGACAUGGUGGUCAAGUUGGUGACCGGUUGGGCGUCUUCAUUCUCGACAUAUGUAUCCUUUAAAGGGUCCGACAUAUUUAUCAUUCCCGGCUCUUGUGGUUGGUCUACCACUGGAGUUAGUUUCUCAAUGGUAGUGGGUGGCUCAACCUCUCUUUUGUUAACACCCAACACUUCCUCUAUAGUUUCAUUGACAUCUUUCUCAAUUUCUUCUUCCUCCUUGAUAACUUCUUCCAUUUCUAUGCCUUCUUCCUCUUCUCCAUAUAACACUCUUGGGCCAUCAAAACUUUUUUCAUCUUUCAAAGGAAUGGCACAUGGGCUCUCUUUAGAUGGUAGUUUGUCUUGAUCUUCCAUUAUACUUAUUGUUUGAGCAAGUUGUGUUAUUUGUAGCUCUAAGCUUUUGAGGCUAUCUUGCGUUGUUUCUAGGAAAUUUUGGGUAGAUGUGGUAAUGCUCUUCACAAUGUCCUAUAAGGACAUGCUUGGCAUUUUAGGUUGUUGAGAAGGUGGAGGAUACGGAUGUUGGAACUGUGGAGGUUGUUGGUAUUGGUCACUUUUCCAACCUUGGUAUGAGCUUUGGUAUUGGUUGUAUCCCCAAGCUUGGUUGUUGUCCCACCAUUGAUCAUGUUGAGGUUGAUCAUAACUCCAUUGGUUUGACCAGUAGUAGCUUCCCUUCUCUUGCACUUCUUCCCAUUCUCCUUGUAAAUAUGGACACAUGUCGGAUUGAUGUCCAUUUUGGGCACAAAAAUCACAAAGAAGAGGUGUGGGUUGCACACUUUGGUCAUUUUCAAUCAUCAUAACUAACUGAGCUAGCUCAGAAAGUUUAUCUUCAAUACAAGGAGUGUUCAUUCCCGAACCACACUUUUUUCUUCAAGUUUUUAGUUUUAAACUAGAGUACAUGCACAAUGAGAUCUAGGCAUAGAGAAACAAACUGAUUAAAUCAAAACCAAUCCCCGGCAAUGGCGCAAAAAAUUUGGUGGUUGUCGAGGCCAACACAAAUAAUAACCCUAAAUAUUACACACUAAAAUAGUGUAUAGUGGUAAAGGGAUCGAAUCCACGGAGAUUGGUUCAAUUUAUAACUCUAUGAAAAAUCUCUUUGUAAAAAUACUUGUAAAAUGACAAUAAAAAUAAAAUGGGGGGUUUUGGUGUUUUGAAAUACUUGAAACAAACUAGAAUUAACUAUGAUUUAAAUAGACAAAUGCAACAAAAAUAAGAGUUUGAUGUAAAAUCAAUAAGGGAGAGAUGGUUGACUUAAAGUUUCCUCACUUUGACUUUUGAUGAACAUAUCAUUAGAAUCCAAUGGUGCAAUACUUUGAUUUAAAUCCUUAAUUUGGCUAUAGUAAUCCAAGGAGCUUGAGAUUACCUAGACUUUUCUUAAUUGUUGAAAUGGCUAGAGAAGCUCAUAACAAUUUCCUUAGUCAAAGUCACUAAUUCCAAAUAGCAUGUAAUUAGUGAAAGUCAACUAGCAUUAAGAACCAAAAAGUCACCAAAUCCAAGAGGGGUCAAAUGCUUUCACCACCAUGUUGGAGGAAAUGUUUUUAUGAUUGUGUGAAGCAAAAACAACACAAAAAUCAUUUGUUGCUUGCUAAUUUGAGGAUCAUUUACUUAAUCAAGAAAUUAGCCAACUAAUCACCACAAACAUAUUUAAACUCGUGAAUAAAAACAUACUAGUAGUGAUAAUAUGAUAAAACACAAAACAAUUCCAUAAAGAUUUAAGAACAAGUUCAUGGAUUCUUCAACAUCCAACAAAAGUUCAAAAGAUUCAACAAAAAGUCAACCAAGAUUUGUUUAGCCAAGCAUGGCUAAACUUAAAUGAACAAAGUUAGAUAAGAUCGUACCAAACAUUUGACAAGAUUCAAGAGAUGAAAAGAAGAUAUUCUUCAAGUGUUCUUGAGGUGUUCUUGGCCUUCAAAAGCACUCCAAACUCCAGAGAGAACAAGUCAAACUCGGACCUUCAAGAUCAGGCUAAAGAGGCACAUCCACCUUCCCAAUAUAGAGCUCUUAGCAAAAUCCCGAAAUUGCCCUUGUCAGGAAUCCACGCGGGCCGCGGGGAAUCUUACGCGGGCCGCGGGCUCUGACGGGUAAUUUUGGGCUUCUUCAAGUUUUGGGCCCCCACAGCUAAUCCAUUGGCCCAGUUCGAGUCCAAUCAGCUUCUAGUCCAUUUUUCUUCAAUAUUUCUUCAAUUUGAGCCCAAUUUGUCUUUCCGCAUCACUCAAAACUUCCGCAAACUCCUAAACAUCGAUCUUGCACACUCAAGAAUUUUCCCGUGCCUUUCAAAUUUAAAGUUCAACACUUCCAAGCCUUCAAGCAACUGACAAGUCCACUCCAUGAAUCACCUCCAUAGCCAUUAAGCACGAAAUCCCCAUUUCCCUUCAAGCCCAAUCGCCUCCCAAGAGUCCCGCUCAGCUAGUCUCCAAUAAAAUCUGCAAUAAUGCUCAAGAAACUAGAAAGUACCCCGAAAUGGUCAUAAAAAUAACAAAAGGGAAAAUAUGCAUGGAAAUUAACUAAAAUGCGAAUGAAAUGUGCUAAAAUAAACUAUAAAAAGAAGUAAAUAAAAUGAAGCUAUCAUUCACCGAAGACCAUGACCAUGUUGGUUUUGGUGCAGGUUUCACAGGCGACUUUGCUUUCCGGGUCUUGUUCUAGACAUGCGUCUAGAAUGGCGUCUGAGACUUGAUCGCAGAGCUUGUCUGGGUGGCCUUCGUUCACGGAUUUUGAUGUGAAUAGGAAGGUUUCCAUCUCUGUGAUAAUAAGAGUUCAAUUAGAAACGAAUGAAAUCCAGGCAAUUUUCUCAUAUGAUUUUUGAACGAAUGUAUCACAUUAGGAUCAUUAUUGAAGUGAGAAACUAAUCAGGCAGUUUCCUUAUCACAGAAUUCAGUAAAUCAUCUGUGGUUUUGGUGUGGUUUAUGCGUUAUACCACGAAAUACAAUAGAUACGAUGUUCGAUUAACAACUUCAGUAGAGGAAAGAACAUGAUCUACUUGUAAAAGAGGCUAUUUAACAUAAUCAUACUUAAAAAUUCGUGAAAAACGACCGAACAGAAUGUUCAAAAUGUACAGAGAUCUCGCUCUUCGAAUCAAACUUCAACAAUUUGUAAAGCAUCAGAAAGAACAGUUUAUCAAUGUGAUUUAUCACAUGAAGAUUUUAAAUUUAUAUACAAAAACCUAAGAGAAAUUUCCACAAUCAAGACUAACAAACCGCAAAUUCAGGAAAUAAAAAGUCGAUUAUCAGGAUAAAAAAAAAACCAAAUUUCAGAAUAUAAACACGCAAUUGAAUCGAAUAACAGUAGCAAAUCGAACGUACCUUUCUUUGAUCGGGAUCUGUAGAGAUAUGGGGAAGAAGCGAUUGUGAGUCGGUUGGAUUGAUUUGAAGCAGAUGAAGCAUGGAUGAGCCGAUGAGGAGGCAGAACUAACCAUGAAGCCCUAGGUAUCCAAGGGAGAAAGAAAAAGACGAAAAUAUGAAAGGAAAUAGAUGAGAAUUGAACAUUUUUAGCAGUUAGCUAAAGUUUUAAUUAUUGUUGUACCCUUAUGACAAUUUUAAAAUUACACUUUAAUUCCUUUAAUUUUAAGAAUUUACAUAAAUGGCCCAUUCGAUAAUAACCUUAGAUUUAGUUUUUUAAAUGGUUCAGAUUUGUUCUCGCGUUCUCAACCUUUUAGGUGUUCUCAUUUGAUCUUACUCAUAUAUAUAUAUAUAUAUAUAUAUAUAUAUAUNCUAGGCGGUCUGCAACUGAUUACGAGUAGGGGUGCUAGGCGGAAAUUGGUCAAUAUCGGUCAAACUCGGGCUAGGCAGUCCUCGGCGGUCCUUGGCGGGAAGAUUUUAAAAAAUUCAAAUUUUCAAAUAUUACACCAAAUUUUGCAAAAUUUCAAAAUUUUAAAUUUANUGACUUAACACCAACCAAGUUCAAGUUUUUCAACCCUUAGCACUAAUAUGUACUAAGGCUAAGGAGAAAGAAAGUGAUUUGUUGCAUCUUUUCUUAUCUUGAAAAAGUCUUAAAAAGAAGAGAUUUCUCUGUUAUGUUAAAUAAACGAGUUUGCUUCUUUAUUCUUAGUUUACUCUUAGUAGAUUCAUUGAAUAACUUCUAGUCUUUUUCUAUUCUAUUUUUAUAUAAAAGAGUUCCAAGUACCAUAGCAUUGCUAGUUCAGACUAAGAUUAUAAAACCUUCAAUAUAGUUGAAUCGUUAGAUGAAUGUUCCCGAUAUUGACAAUCUUUCAUAGGAAGUGUUGUCAUCUCUAUCUUCCAUCAUCCAUUCCCUGUAAUUAGUCCAUGCCUAACAUCCUACUGCUGGAAUCCAUUCCACCUGUCCUAAUCUAUUCUUACCUUCAAAGAACAACAACAACCUAACAACAUAGUAAGAUAGGUUGAAGUUGUUGGGGAGAUAGAGGCUGAGACUACUCAAUAUUUAUCCUCAUUGGACUCAAGGAAAAGGAGCUAACCCGGAUGCAAAUCCUAGAAAACUAACUAACCUCGGCAUGGAAGCCAACUUCCGAAACUGCAGGAGAAUUGGGACCCUUGCUUCGCUUCGCACCUCGUCAUAGCCUUGAAAAUCUCACUCGGAGUUAUAGUUAGAGAAUGGGAUAUGAUUAACUACUUACCUACUGCUACAUGGGAGUCUUUCCUCGGGAGAUCAAAGAAGGUAUACUAUUAGACAAGGUUCAUUUUUGCUUAGCUGCUUUGCUGUUCUUUUUUUUUUUUUUUUUUAUCAAAGAUAGCUAUUCCUUUGCUUUGAUGCUUUCUGUGCCUUUAUGGGACUUAUAGUGGAAUAAAGGUCCCGGACCUCAUCCACGAGACUAACCAAGUCUCAUGAUCUAGGGAUCACUCCCUCGAUGCCAACCUAGAGAGAUGGGUAGAAAGUAGCUAAUAGUAUUGGGUGCCUUACCUAUCCUACAUAUUAGUAAUCCACAUUAGCAGUAGGGUAGAAAGGUCAUCCUAAAUAUGAAGAAAACAGAAAUCGUUGUAUUCCCCUAAAGUAAUCGUUCGUAUGAGAAUAAGUAGACUAGUGAUUCAAUUGAAAAAGACCUGACUCCCUCAGAUUGUACAUCUCAGGUUCACAAGAUUCUCUCUCAAAGAGACAUGAUCAGAAAGCAGUGACGAGGGGUCGGGGAAGAUGCAAAGAGCAGAAAUGACGAAAACAGCUUUUCGAUAGGCCUAUACACCAUCUUCAUUAGACUUUAGUUUACUCUUUUCUUUUUCUUUAGAUGAUGACAAACGAACUGAAAACUACGAAUGCUUCUAAUUAAUUGAAUCUUAUUUUAGAAUCCAAUUUUAUUUUAUAUAUAUAUAUAUAUNUAUAUAUAUAUAUAUAUAAAGCAGAGUGAUGUCUUUAUGACAAUUCGUCAAGUCUGAUCCUCAAAUUCUUACCUUGACCAGGAAAACCUCGAUGACAUAAUCGCUUAUAGUCACUCACUGGAGGUUUGGAACCCUGAGUAUAGUGUUCCGGGAUAUAUUAAGUUUUAUAAUAGUUUUAUUAGUAAUUUAUGGUCCCCGAUUAAUCCUCCGAUUAAUCCCCACCAAACCGAUUAAUCGCUUGACCCCAGUCGGCCGUCGAGCUAACGCCGAACGAUUUUUACAACCUUGAUAUUAACCCCAAACAAAAUACAAUACACUGUAAAAUAAAAUAUUAACCCCAAACCCUAAUUAAGAGUUAUAAGAACCAUAACUGAUGCAUAUCGAGCGAUACACAUCUACUGAGCCAUAAUGGAACAUUUAUUGGCAUAUAAAACGUAUAUGUGUUAUUAAUACUUUUAUCAGGGCACGUUUAAAUUCUGGAAAUUUUAGAAAAUCAUCAUUGACAUGACAACUUUUGUAGAUUGUAUCCUGGUAAGUGAUAGCUUUUAGAUUUCUUCUUCACCUUUUUAUUGGCAUAUAUCUUCACAAUCAAAGAAAUACACAAAUUAAAACAUAGUACUGUGAAUAUAAAAAUAUAAAACACGAAGAACUUGUCCGAUUAUUACAUCCAAGGACAUUCGACUUAAAAAUGCCUUUUGGCCUAGACCACCCACAUUCAUGACCACAGCUAACCCAACAAUUUCAUUAACAAAAAUAUUUCCUUUUUCCUCUAUGUACACAAACCAAUCAAAUCGUUUUUAUCAACUUGGUUAACAACCAAUCUCAAGCUAACUUAUUUACAUUAUAAAAUAAUAAAAUAUAAUAACAAAAAAUAUCAAUAUAAGUGUAUGUUUGUAGAGAAAAAUAUUAUGAAUAUCAUACUAUUUUGUUUAUUUAUUUUAACAAAAUGUCGUCUAACCUAUAAAUUACAGAUUUUGGUUAAUAAAAAUCAAAUUUAGACAACUAGGAAAGUUCCAAGUUACAUGAACAUUGUAUCUGAGAUUUUUGUUAAAUAAUUUUUGUUUAUUGGUGAUCAAACAUUGUUUGAUUGCUGAUGAUAGUAGUCUUAUACCCCUUGAAAUAUAACAAUCAGAUAAACAUGUUUUGAAAUUUCUAAUAGAUAUGUUCAAAAUUAGCACUCCAAGCUCCGAAAACCAAAUAACAUAUUUGGAGGGUGUUUGGGUUAACUUUUAAAAUGACUUUUGACUUUUAUCUUUUAGAAAAAGUCAAAAAGAUGUCUGGUUAAGUGAAAAUGACUUUUGUAAAUGACUUUUCCAAUAGAGUAAAUUGAGCCUUUUUGAAAAGUCACGAUUACGUGACUUUUUCUAACUUUUCAACAGCUAAAAAUAUUAAAUUAUCAAUAUACCCCUUAUCUACCCUAAUUAAUUCUUCAUUCACAGCGUAUUCCCUACUCUCUCGUUCUCUCUGUCACUUUCUUCUCUCUCGCAUCUCGAUCGUUCCUGCAACACCGACGACCUGCAACACCUGCAACACUAGCGACCUGCAACACUGCAACAUUGGCGUCUUCUUUCUCCAUCUCCGAUCAGGUUUGUUAUCUUUCCAGUCGAUUUCCGAUCUCCGAUUUUACAAAAUCUUCCUGUCUAUUUUCCAUUUUUCAGUAGCAAAGAAAUGUAGUUUUUGAAUUUUCCUUGAACUAUUCUGUGAUUUCUUCCUCCCGAUUUCUGAAAUCGAUAUGUUGUGAUUUGUUCCUCCCGAUUUCUGAAAUUCAUAUGCUGUGAAAUAGUGAUUAUUCUGUGAACUUGAUGAAAUAUGGAUUAAUAAUUAGUGAAAUUGAUGAAAUAUGAGGCUGAUGAAUUUUUUUUUCAGGGAUGAUAUUUGUGUUAACAGGUAACCAAUUUGUGAAACUGAUAUUUUGUGAUAUUCUAUUUUUUCUGUUUUGAUUAGAAUUCUGAUAAAUUAAUGAAAUCAUUUAGGAGGGUUAAUGAAAUUGAUUUGUUGUUUAAAUGUUGAUACUAUAUGUAAUUCACAGAUAAUGGAUGAAAACAACACUACAAUUGUUGAUUGUGAAACAUCUUUAAAAAUGAAAAAACCAAAAUUUGGGUGGGAUAAUCGUAGUUUCAUGGUGUUUGUUGAUUCGUGCUUGAUUGAACAGAAAAAAGACCAUAAACCCCGUACCUCCUUUGAUAAAGUUGGGUGGGAAAAUAUACAAAAAUGCAUUAAGGAGAAAACAGGUUACAGCCUUGAAAAAAACAACUAACAAACAAAUGGGAGAACAUGAAAAAAACGUGGAAGCUUUAUGACCGCUUAAUGAGGCUUGAAAUCAAACUCGGUGGGACGAGAAACCUAGUAGAUGUAGGGAUGUCAAAAAGUCUCGUGGGACCCCAUUCCCGUGGGGACCCCGUACCGUUUGGGGAUUUUUUUUUUAAAUAGAUCGGGGGCGGGGACGAGGGCGGGGGCAAGGUUAACCCCCGUUUUAAUUUCGGGGGCGGGGGCGGGGAUAGACAAUCCCGUCCCGAAACCCCCAUGGAGACCCCGUUAAUAAAUUACACAUAUAUUUACAUAUAUUAAUUAUAUAAAUAUAAUAAACAAUAACAUGAUUUUGAGCUUCCAAAAUUCAACAAAAAAACAUGUUUUUAAGUUAGUAUAAUGUUUUUAAGAUGUCAUAACUUUUUUUGAUUUUUAACAUGUAAAAUUCCAAUAUAAAUAAAUAUUUGUUAACUAAAAAAUAGUUUCUUUUAGCCCAAAAAAAGGUGACCCAAAAUAAACCCAGGGCAGGGACAGGGACGGGAGAAUGAGAAAAUUUCGGGGGCGGGGGCGGGGGAUGCACUCCCCGUCCUGUUUGCCCCCGUUGACAUCUCUAAGUAGAUGCGUCGCGUGAGUGGUGGGAGGAGAAAAUAAAGAUAUGAUUACUAUUCUUUUUAAUUAUUUUAAGUUAUGAUUACAUAUAGAUUGAACAUAUUUGAUUUACAAUAUCUUUUUGUCUUGCAGGAGAAUAAAGAUUAUGUCAAAUUUAGGAACACAUAUUUGAGCAUAUUUGAUGAGAAAUAUGCUACUUUGUUUCGGGAUUCUGUUGCCAUUGGAGAUCAGACUAUGACUCCAUUACAAUUUCAAAACAAUAGCAAUCCAAACGAAGAAAAUAUGGAGGGCGAAGGAGAUAGUGAUGAAAUCAAUUUAGAUGAUGAUGAGCCUCUUUUUCCUAGUCUCCAUGAAAGUAGUUCAAGUAAAAGGAAGGGGCCUAAGUUUGUUUCCAACAACCAUCCAACCAAGAGUAAAAGUUCAAUUUAUGAAGAACAAGUUGAUGCUUUAUUGGAUGUCAUAUCAUGAAAAAACACACAAACUUAUCCACAAAAUAAUCCUUCCCCAACAAUAUCAGAUUACAUGGCCAUUGUCAUCAACUUUCCCGAUUUUCGUAAAGGGUCCAACGAAUUUUCACAAAAAGAUGAAGUGAAGUACAUUGGUCGAAAGGGAUAUGCAACACAAAAUAUAAUGAUUGUUUGUGAUUUUAACAUGUGCUUUACAUUUGUCUGGACCAGUUGGGAGGGGACUGCACAUGAUACAAGAAUUUUCAAUGAAGCCUUACAGAGACCAGAUCUUAAUUUUCCCUAUCCAACAGGUGGUUAGUAUUUUUUUUUUGAACACAAGUUUUAUGUUUUUACUACUUGUUUGAAACGAAUAAUAAAUGUUUGUUUUAUUACAGAUAAAUAUUAUGUUGUUGAUGUCGGAUAUCAAAAUACUAGAGGGUAUCUUGCUCCAUACAAAGACACAAAUAUUCGUUAUCAUUUACCAGAUUUUCGACGUGGACACACAGCUGCUAUUCGUGAACCUCGUGGACCGAAAGAGAAAUUUAACUAUCUUCACUCAUCAUUGCGAAAUAUCAUUGAACGAACUUUUGGAGUGUGGAAAGCUAGGUGGACGUUAUUAAGAGACAUGCAUGUUAAUUACAAGUACAAGAACCAAGUGAGAAUUGUGAUAGCAUCGAUGACGAUCCAUAACUACACUAGAAAGGUUGGUAGGUUUGAUGAAACGAUUAAUAUGGCACAACAAGAAUCUUACAAUCAUGUACGAGGUGAUACCGGUAGUGAUGUUUACGAAGAAGGUCCAAGUACACGUCGUACGGACGGUGAUGAUUUAUAUAUCGCAACGAUACGGGAUAUUAUUGCACAAGAUAUAAUCACAUUGCGAAGAUGAAUGUAAUAUUAUCUAUGAUAUUUUUUUAUGAAUUAUUUACAAUUUGUAUUAACGUAAUUUUAAUAUUGUCAUGGUCUAAUCCAAAAAGUCAUCUUAUGAAUUAUUUACAAUUUGUAUGAACGUAGUAAUUUUUAUAUUGUCAUGGUCUAAUCCAAAAAAUUAGAAAUAUUUUAAAAGAAAUUUAUAUUUUAUAUUUUCUAAUAAAAUGUUUGCAAAAUUAUAAUAUGUGUUUAAAAAAAAUUAAGUAUUAAAUAAUAUAUGUAAAGUAGUAAAUCAAUGUAAAUAUGUAAACAUGUCAUUUUUAGUCAUUUUACAUAUAAAAUUUAAACAAAACACUUUAACUUUUGACUUUUUCUCUUCAAAAGCUAAUCCAAAUACAUUUUAAAAAAUAACUUUUGUAAAAAGUUCUUUUAUAAAAAAGACUUUUGCUCCACAAAAGUUAAGCCAAACGUCCUCUUGAAAAGCAAGAAACAUGUAUGAUGUUUUUUACAGUAGAAAAGUUAAAAAGUAGGUUUUCGGAUUCUAAAAUCCGAGGAAUAAACCCAAAACGCAACACUAACAUUACAAAAACUCAAAUAAUUAAUCAAAGUCUCAAUGUAUUCCAAUAUCAGGCAUGAAACUAUAUCAUUUCAUUAAACCGAUGAUACAUAUUAUCUAUAGGGAAGGAUUUUUGAAAGUGUAAAGUGAAAUGAAAAAUAAUUUGGAAUAAGCUGUCAUUUUACCAAGGAUCUAAAAUGUGGACGUCUAUACUCUAAAAAACUAUAUGGUCUUUUGUGAUUNNNNNNNNNNNNNNNNNNNNNNNNNNNNNNNNNNNNNNNNNNNNNNNNNNNNNAUUUUGAAAAAUGACCGAUUAUUUGUUAGAAGUUAAAUUCAAAGAAUUUAAAUUGAUUAAGGGGGUGUUUGGGAUUGCGUUUGAAAAGUGUUUAUUUGUUUAUUGGCUCUUUGAAAAGCUAAUAAGCAAAAAAAAGUGUUUGGUAAACUCAAAAACACUUUUUCAUAAUAACUUUUUUAUAAGUUUCAAUAAACACUUUUUAAUAAGCAUAUAAAACAUGGUUUUUGACACUGUUUAUGGCUUUUCAGCUAAAAUAACUUUAAAAAACAAUUUUUAAACCAAACACUUUUUAACAUAUUAACUUAUUAGCUUUUUCACUACAAAAGCUUAUCCAAACACUUUUUAAAAAAAACUCUUUUUUAACACCACUAUAAGCAAAUUAGCACUUUUAUCUAAAAUCAUUUUUCUUGUUUUUUCCCAAACAGGGUCUAAAUCAUUUACGUUCGGAUUUGUACCUACAAUCUAACAGGCUUCCACAUCUAUCUAGGUUAGUCUCAUAUUUGUAAUAGAUAUCUUAAGAAAAAAAACUUGUUUAUCAUUUAGAUACGACAAAACUGUAAAAUUGGUCCCUGUGGUAUUCAAAAAACUUUGGAUAGGGUCCAAAAAGUUUUCAACUUGCAUGGAAGGUCCAAAAUCAAUAAUUUCCUUUGGUUUUGGUCCUAAAAAAGUUGAAAAAUACGAUUUUACCCCUUAUCAUUUCUUUUUAUAUUUUCUGUAUUUGUUUAGUAUUUAAAUAAUUAUAAAAAAAAUCUCAUCCCCUUAAAUAAUUAUAAAAAAGAAAAAGAAAAUCACCUACCCCUCCCUACCCGUAACCCCCCUUCUCACUUUCACUCUCAUUUACUCUCUCGCCUCUUUCUCUAUAUAUCAGUUUUCUUUUCUUCCAUGUUAAUGCAAUUGUUGGUGGUGGUGUUGGGUUGUGAUAUGGAAGCGUGAAGACAACCGGAAAUCGGUAUGACAUCAGCUAUGUAAUGUCUAGAUUUCUUGAUGAAGAGCUUGUAGGAUCCUCCUUCUCUGCGUCUUCCCCUGUAUUUGUAUUUCCUUGUGAUGAAGGUAAGACCAUCAGUUUCAGUUCAUAUAUUAUGAUGAAAGAUGGUGGUGGUGAUAUGGCUCUCUAGCGAGUUAAUUAUUAUCCUCGAACAACAGGAGGGAUUUCAAGGCCCUAUUUUAGGGGUUUAAAAGUUCGAUUUUAGGGUUUCCAAGGUUCGAUUUCAGGGGUUUCAUCAUUUCCCUCUCCUUUUUCGUUGCACCAUCUCUUUAAUCUGAAACACAAAUUAAAAACAAAUCUCUUUAAUAUACUACACACAAGUUAGUGAAAUUAGGAAUUCAUGAACGAAAUUAGAAUGUACAGGUGAUAAAUUAGGAAAAAUAAACAGGAAUCAACUCCUGAUAUAUGAGCUCUUAGGUGUCUAGUAAGGAAAAUGAUCACCGGAAACCAGUUUGGAAUUGCUACGACAUCAGAGAUCUUUUGAUGAAAAUUGUCAUCGGAGAUAAUGAUCUGUUCAGAUAUUUUGAUGAAAAUUGUCAUCGGAGAUAAUGAUCAAAACAGAUGUUAAAUUGUGGGUUUAUGGUGGUGUUUUGUUGUGACUAGAUGUUGAUGAUGGGGUAAUCAAUGGUGUAUGAUGUAGGGUUCCGGCAAGCAUAUGGUGGCGGUGAUGGUAGUUGAAUGACAUCCGAGAGAGAGAGAGAGAGAGAGAGAGAGAGAGAGAGAGAGAGAGAGUGUGAGAUAGAGAGAGAAAGAGGAGGGCUGGGUGAGAUUUUAGUUUUGUUUUUAUUUUUAAUUAUUUAUAUAUCAAAAUAAAUAAAGAAAAUAGAGAAAAGAAAUAAAAAGGGUAAAAUCGUCUUUUUAAGUGUAUCAAGGACCAAAAGCCCAAAAAAAAAAUUGAUUUUGACUUUCCAUGCAAGUUGAAAACUUUUUGGAUCUCAUCCAAAGUUUUUUGAGUACCACAAAGACCAAUUUUACAGUUUUGUCUUUAGAUACCGUAACGAUUUAUACAAAACGAUUUGCUAUUUAUGUAUUGAAUUGUAUAAAAUAAUAAAUUAUAUACGGCUCUAAACAAUAAAAAAUUAAAAAGUAAAAACACUUCCAAAAGACGGUAUAUUGGAUUGAACUCGUUAGCUUGGCCACUGGAGAGUUGAAUACGCCAUUGAAGGCUGAGAAGAGCGAGCCAAUCGAGUAGCAUUGAGUUGCUACGGAGGGGAAUAAGGGGUCCUUCGUAGCAAAAAGAUAUCUUCAGUUGCUUCAGUUGAAAUUUUUUGGAUUGCUAGGAUUCACUAGACAAAAAAGGAUAAUUUGGCGAUUAACCCUAAAGAAUUGCAUAUACCAGUUACGGAUCGUAGAAUUCGCUCUUAAUGGCGACGAAGAUGGACGAGGACAAAGAGGAACUGAACAUAGUCGCCGCCGAACAACACCGGGAGUUAGCGGCGGCCCGAAUCUUCGUAUCCGACCUGGACCUAGCGUUCCGCCUCCAACUUGAAGAAGCCAUGACUGCCUCUCUCGCAUUUCAGCCCUCCUCCUCCACUUCACCGAUGAAAUCUCAACGACCACCAAUCCUGGUCUCGGACGACUCAGAUGCUGUAAACCUCGUCGACCUCCAAACCCUAGAGCUUGACAAUUACGAGGCUGAAAUCCGCGACCGCGUGGUCAUCGAAACAGAGAAGAUGAAAUUUAAGGAAGAUCUACACCGUCGAAUCCACGAUCAGAAACUAGCUCGAGAGAUUUUGCGUAUGCCAGAGGAUGAGUGGGAAGAGGUCGGCCACAAUUUCGAGCGUCCUUACGGCGAGGGUUCUUCUUCUUCGAAAAGCAAAGACAAUUCAGAGGUUUUUAGGGUUUAUUUCAAGGGUUUGUUGAGCGAGGAGAGAGUUCAUGGUACUAGUUCUUCACAGAAAACAACGACAUUCGCUGGAAUUGGCGUGGCAAUAUGCGAUUCGAGGGAUGAGUUAAUUUUCGAGAUGAGGAAACCUCUAGAUUUGAUUGAAGAUGAUCGUAUUAGCAGGCAGAGUGUUGAGGGGAAGGCGUUGAUUGAGGCUUUGAAUGCUGCCAUUGCUUUGGAUCUCAAGAGAAUCAGGUUCUAUUGUGAUUAUUACACACUGUAUCAAUACGUGAGUCGAUUUUCGUCUAAAGCUCUGUAUGUUGAUUUCGUCUUCAUACUUCAUACUUCAUAUCAGUGUUUCAACAACUGCAGGUUAGUGGGAGAUGGCAGCCAAAACAAGCUAAGAUGAAAGCGUUUGUGAAUCAGAUAAAACUCCUUCAAAAAAGUUUCACAUACUUUUCACCCUCUUUUGUUGCUCGAAAAGAUGUCAAAUUUGCAUUCAAACUCGCAAGAGAAGCAAUAGAUUCUCAAAUAAACAAGCCACCGGAAUCAAAUAAUGGCAAUAAGCUUGAACACUGUGUUAUAUGUUUGGAUGAUAAAUCAACAGACCAGUUCUUUUCAGCCGGAAAUUGUAACCACAGAUACUGCUUUUCUUGCAUGAAGCAACAUGUAGAGGUGAAAUUACUCCAUGGAAUAGUGCCUAAAUGUCCACAUGAAGGUUGUGAAUUGGAACUAAAAGUUGAAAGCUGUGAGAUUUUUAUGACACCAAAGUUAAUUGAGAUGAUGAAACAUCGAUUAAAGGAAGCUUCAAUUCCCGUGACAGAAAAAAUUUAUUGCCCUUAUCCAAAAUGUUCAGCAUUAAUGUCAAAAACUGAACUUUCAAAGCUUCCAAGAUUUAUACAUGAGAAUGGAGCUAGAACAUGCUGCAAAUGUCACGGUGACUUCUGUGUCAAUUGUAGGGUUCCUUGGCAUAGAAAUAUGAAUUGUGCAGAGUACAAGAGAAGAAAUCCUACACCCCUUGUGGAUGAAUCAAAGCUUAAGAGUCUUGCUGCAAGAAAUCUAUGGCGUCAGUGUAUUAAAUGCAAACAUAUGAUAGAGCUUGCAACUGGUUGCUACCAUAUGACAUGCAGGUAUGUUUUUAAUUUUUUUUUAGGGUGUAACCCAUGAAAUUCCCAAAUUCCUCAAGAACCCUAAUUUGGGCAAACAUCAAAAUGGAGCAGGUGUGGAUAUGAAUUUUGCUACACGUGUGGGGCUGAGUGGAAGAAUAAGAAGGCGACAUGCACGUGUCCCCUUUGGGAUGAAGAAAACAUUGUGGACACUGAUGAUGAUGAUGAAUUUGAUGAUGAUGAUGAUGAUGAUGAAUUUGAUGAUGAUGAAGAAUUUGAUGAUGAUUAUGAUUCUGAUGAUGAUGAAUAUUAUUUCUGAAGAUGGAUAGUUAUUUACUUGAUAACUUUUUGAUUGUAGGGAUGGUUGGUUAGAUGGAAUGGGUAAAAAUAAAUGGUGUUUUUGGUGUCUGCUUGUUUAUUUGUUUCUCAAUGUCAAUGGUUUAUUAGAUGUAUUAUCUAAUAUAAAAUUCACAAUCUUCAAAACAAAUAUAUACCCACAUAAAAUUUGAUUCAUAUUUGAAAUUUUAUUUUGAAAAAUUAAAGGAUUGUUUGAGAAAGAAUGUUUUGAAGUUUGAACUAUGGAAAUUGUUGAUGUUAACGUUUUGUUCUUCUUUAGAGACGUACAUGAAAUUAGAUCUAAAUAAAUAAAAAUGAUUUAUAAUAGUGUAACACUCGUACGUGACCAUGGGAGUUGGGGGCUUCACACAUAAUCUCACUAAACCGAUAUUUGGUGUUCAUAACCAUGACUUUGCCACACGUACUUACUAAGGUCAGACCGUAUAUCCCCUGCAUCUUGUAGUAAGGCUAACCGGUAUAUUGUUAGGUCAUAAUUUUGUGGUUUGAGCUAGGCAUUCAUCUUGUAUAGGUCUUGGUAGGGUCUUGGGGUUUGUUAUGUUGGUUGUAGUAUGUUAGCGAGUGUGUGCGGCCAUACACGCGUGUGCGGCUGUACACACGUGUGCGGUUGUAUACACGUGUGCGGUUGGUGGUCCUAUAAAUAGAGUGUAUCUGUGUCAGUUGUAUAGGAAGGUCAGUGACUUAUGUGUGUGUUUUCCUAAGGUGUACCUGACAUUUAUUUGAUAUAGAUGUGUGUACGUUUGGAUUAAUUCUUCUUCUACUCCUUCUACACUCUAUUUGAUGUUUGCCUUAAUUGAUAACUGAUUUGGAUCCAUUAGAUUUGAGACUUACAAUUGGUAUCAGAGCCAAUUCAGUGUCAAUUUUGAAGGAACAUUGAAGGUGUGCGGUUGGAGUUUGAAGGUGUGCGGUUAGAGUGUGCGGUUGAGUGUGCGGCUGAGUGUGCGGUUGGAGUGUACGGUUGGAGUGUGCGGUUAAGUGUGCGGCUGAGUGUACGGUUGGAGUGUGCGGUUGAGUGUGCGAUUGGAGUGUGCGGUUGAGUGUGCGGUUGGUGUGUGCGGUUGGGACCCAGGCUUGUAAUGACCUGGGUCCCCAAAUCUAAAUAAUCCCGCUCAUUGUGCAGGAACAACUGUGGAGGAAUGUCGUCAAACCUUGGUACGUCGACAGCGGUUGUUCCAGGCACAUUGACAGGAGACAUCUCCCAACUGCACGUCAUUCAGAAUUUUAAUGGGGGCUAUGUUUCCUUCACGGGAGGAGAUGGAGGGAAGAUCACUCAAAAAGGAAUAGUUGUAAAUGGAGUGCUGAGUUUUGAGAACGUCAUCUACGCUCCUGAGUUAAAGUAUAGCUUGUUGAGUGUCUCACAGAUCAGCUUAUAGACUACGGAUAAUGAUAUACGGUUAAGCAGUGAAGACCUCGAUGCAAUAGUGUUUACAGAGUGUUCCAUCGAGUUGUACCUGACGUUUUUCUGAUAUAAACGUGUGCAAGCUCGAUUUCUUUUCAUCUUCUUAUUCUAUUGCUGCUUGAUCAUUGACAAAAGGAGUUAGUGGUGUUCUCAAAGUGACGUCUCCAACUUUUGAUCAGAUGGUCGACACCUUUCAACCGAUAUGGAUACAACUUCAAGGAUUCCUCCCCUUCCAUUUGCUAUUCCAACUUUAUUUCCAUUUGAUGAGUGAUCAGAUACUGACACAAACCUCCCAGCCUCUUGUGAAAACAACAUGACUUGAUCAGAGGCAGGGAGAUCUUAUCCAAGAACAAGUACCACCAAUCCAACAACCCUCCAAAGCUGCUACACCAACUCAACCGACCCUAAAAGGACCAAGUAAUGUUAGAUCUUCGUUUGAAGUCGGGAGUUCUUCUGCUCCUGGGGGUUCUUCUCCUCCACAACCUACGCAUGAUGUUGCCUCUUUGAGGCUUGCCAGGUUUCUUGUUCAACAAGAUUCAGAUCCUUUACCUCGUGGCAAAUGAAUAUCAACAGGUGAAGGAAGUCUAGGGGGAGCAGGCCCAUCUAUCUCAGAGCUCAAGGAGGAGAUCACUGAUGAAGAAGACCUGAGUCCAUGCUAGCUCAAACCAAGGGGGAGAAUGUUAGGUCAUAAUUUUGUGGUUUGAGUUAGGCAUUCAUCUUGUAUAGGUCUUGGGGUUUGUUAUGUUGGUUGUAGUAUGUUAGCGAGUGUGUGCAGCCAUACACGCGUGUGCGGCUAUACACGUGUGUGCGGCUGCACACUCUGUGUGCGGCCAUACACGCGUGUGCGGUUGUAUACACAUGUGCGGCUGGUGGUCCUAUAAAUAGAGUGUGUUUGUGUCAGUUGUAUAGGGAGGUCAGUGAUGUAUGUGUGUGUUUUCCUAAGGUGUACCUGACAUUUAUUUGAUAUAGAUGUGUGCACGGUUGGAUUAAUUCUUCUUCUACUCCUUCUACACUCUAUUUGAUGUUUGCCUUAAUUGAUUACUGAUUUGGAUCCAUUAGAUUUGAGACUUACAGAUGACCAACCCACGUGUGAUGGCCUACGUGCCAUGGUAACCUACUAACCUACUUGUGAACACCACUCCAAUGGAGCGUGGGUGGCUUGUGACGUGAUAGCGGAGAUGUACAAAAACAACCAAUGAAAAUGCAACAGGCUUGCAAAUCUUGCAAACAGUCAUAUAUUUGACCGUUGUUGUAUACGUUGGAAAUAAAAAUAUUAUUUAAUUUCCAAAUUUAAACUUUACAUCUUAUACUUAUAUAUACCAACCAUUUUAUAUACAUUUUACACUACAGAAACACACAACAUUCUUCUACGUUCUCAUUUUUUCUUUAAAAUAUGGAUUCAACUCAAAAUACCUCAGUCACUCCAAGUCUCCAACCACCUCAAACACUCCAAAUGAUCUGAUGACGUGCCCUAGCACGGACAAAGAAGUCGCGAAAUAGACGCGUCAAAGAAUGCCCCAAGGCAUGUCGCGCACAGCAGACUAAGUCCGACGGAACCUAACGCCCUUAAGAGCAGGGCGCUUGCGGAGAAAGGCUUGGCCCCGCCAGGGGCGCCUUUCACUCCGGGACAAAUGUAACGGCCUCAGGCGACAAGGCAGAUGUUCAUUGCAUUACCGCCUAAACCAAUCAUGCUUUUUGGAAAUUAAGUCGUCUUCUCUUAGUUUACACACAAUACAACCCCGAGUCUAUCCACUGACUAGACCGUCGGAGCGCUUUCCCGGGAGUCUCCUCCCGGAGAACGGCCGCUGAUCCUUUCUCGUUGUGACCUCGCAGGUUCAUCGGAAUCACCACAGAUGUACAAAACCAUCGUUCGAGAACCAAGUCACAUCAUUUGCCGUCAUCCGUAAUGUGACGAAAAACAAGCAAAAAGCACACUCCUCAUCGGUGAAAGAAUGGCGUCCGGUGACACCGGGGUAACUGGUGGAACACCAAACAGCCCCAUCAGGCCUAUGAUGUCGUUGGAACAAACCACCACCCCGAUUCCCACAACGCUCUCCGGUGAAGCGUCACAAAAGGGCGGCUCGACGGUAACCACCACUCCAACAACCGAGUCACAGAGAUUGGUCGUCGGAGGACCAACUUCUCCGUCGUCGUAUCAACACAAAGCACUCCAAUGCAAACACCACAACCAAUGGUGAUAUCAAGCAGUACAACACCGCCAACGGUGGAAAACGCCAACGCCACACCAGCUUUCUCGCAACCGCAACCACUACACCAUAUGGUAGGCGAACAAUCGGUGGUUUUCCAAACAUCAUCGCUGAACCAGAUGGUGAGAAACCAAAUAAUGGCUUUCCAAAUACCUUCGUUUGUAACAAACAUACCUUUCAACACCACAAUCCCACAUUAUCAGCAACUUGUGCCCAAUAAUCCUCUUGCACAAAACUCACCCCUUUUGCCCAUCCAAAUGUUAACCUUCCCAUCUCCACAACAAGCGUUCUAUGGGCCAAACUAUGGUCACUCCCCGAUGUAACGCCUGUAGAUCCGGGCUAGUCAAUUUAGAGACAAUAGGGGUCGAAAACGACUUUUCGACAAAAGAUUAUUUAAUCUUAACCAAGUUUUAUAAUAUUUCUCAAGGGUUCCGUACAUAUAAAGAAUGCCGAAAUCCGAGUUAUAACGAAGACGUUAUGACUCGUCGAAGUUUUAUGGCAAAACCGGCACGGCACCAGGAGACGUAAAUAGUGAAUUUUUGAUAAAGGACUUUUUAGCCUUAUCGAUCCAAAAAAAAAAGUUAUAGUAUAUGUUAAACCGAGAACAUACAAAAAAAGAACGCCCAAAUCUGACUUCGUAUGACGAAGUUAUGAAUUUUCUAAGAUUUGGCAUAACAGUGCACGCCCCGAAACUCGAAUUUUAGUUCGAUUGGUUUUUGGCCUACGCGACCUAAAUGAGAAUUGAAGAUCUCAUUAAUAGGAACUCAACGGUAAAAAUACAGACGAAAGCAGAGUACGCAUGUAGAAGUUAUGAAUUUUACGCGAAUAUUUAACAAUAUAAUCUCCUCGUACUGUUAAAAUUAAGAUAGUUCUAGAAUUAGCAGACGGAGUCAAAAUGAAAGUUGUAGAUCUUAUUUUUACCUACGCGUGGAUAUAAAGAACGUCAAAAACGGAGGUCGUAUGUGAAAGUUACGGAUUUUAGAAUUCGGAAGUGUGAUGUGCGAAAAUGGGUGAUGUGGCACAAUCUUGGCCAUUGCUUUCUCCCCAAGUCUUGCCACUAGAUGGUGACAUGUGGCACCAAGUUCAGCCAUUUUCACCCUAUAAAUAGAACCUCUCCCACCGUCAUUUUCUUCACACCUUUCCCAUUCUUUCUUCUUUUUACUCUCUCUCUAGAACCUCUCUCUAGCCCCGAAACCCCCCGAAAAGUCUAGGGAACCUCCCUAGCACGAGGCAGAAGCCCCGGAGUGCUCGACGACUCCGAGAGGAAGAGAUUUUGGGCUCGGGAACGCUGCUCCAAGCAAAGCCCGGUUUUCUAUAAAACCCGCUGUAAGUGAGCUACGUCUACGCUAUUUUUAAUAUAUCGUUUAUUUAAUUAUAGUAACGUUAUUAGGAACUUAUAAUAAGUACUUGAGAUAUUAUUAUGAGUUAUAUAAUUAAUUAUUAGGAAUAUUGGGUAGUGUUUUCUUACGAGUACGAGUGAAUUAUACUCAGAGAAUAAAACCUUAGUAUAUGUCAUUGAUCCGGGAGCAUGGAUUAGACCUAUUCAUUGUCCCUAGUCCGAGAGUAUGGAUUAGGCAUAAUCAUUCAUCAUUAAUCCGAGAGUAUGGAUUAGUCAUUCGUCCCUAUUCCGAGAGUAUGGAUUAGGUAAAGUCGCUCAUUUCUGAUCCGGGAGUAUGGAUUAGGUAAAACGGCUACUCUUAGGUCUGAGAGUAUGGAUAGUCUCGUUGUCAGGAUCGACGGGGUGGGAUAGGAGUUGCUUACACAUAUAUGGUGAAAUUGUAUGUUUUGUGAGUUCUAAAUUAUAUAUAUGAUAUAACAUUGUAGGAUUGAAAUCCCUAUGUAAUCACUAUGUUUCUCAACCUGACCCACUCAGUUUAUUUAUAUCACAGGUGUUGAUAUGAAGUCACAUUACACUGAGAGAUUAAGGAGAUAUAGAUCACUAGUGAUAAUGAAUGUAAGUUUUGUUUAUGAUUUUGUUUCUGUAUUGACGAUGACAUCCCAAAUGUUUUAAAAUGAAUAAAAAUACUUUUCUUCGGAAAUGCUUUGAUAACGUAUUUAUCAUGUUUUAGUGGGAAUAAAUUCCGCAACAUUUUUAUUAAAAAACGUACUCUGAUUUUUAUAAAGCAUAAACAAAAUCGGUCUUUUCGGGCCGCGAAAAAUGGGGAUGUCACACCCGACAUACAACAGCAUGCUCACAUCCCAAAUCAAGACUGUCUGUCAUGCAGCAUAACAUCUCCGUUCGCCUAGGAGCUCUUAGAUUACGAAAUCCCAAACACAACAAAGUUCCCACAUCUCAAGACCUACAAUGGAAACACAGAUCACGAUAGCCACAUCGACACUUACGAGUGGACAAUGACCUCACUCAAGCUAGACGAGCGAUUAUGGUGUACAUACUUCCCGACAACCAAGACGGCAACGCAGGAACGUGGUUCAAGACGCUGCGACCAAGGAUCAUCUAUAACUUCGGGUAGUUAAAGUAUCUCUUCUUGGCGAAUUUCAUGCAACUGCGUAAAUACAAGGGAGAUUCACACUCGAUUAUCGGCUACAAGCAGAAGGAAGGAGAGACAGUGCGAGAAUGCUUCACCAGGUUCACUAACACCACACUGGACAUCCCAAGCCACGACGAAGGAUUAAUAGCAGGCGCCUUUACUUGGGGAAUCCUCCUAGGACAGUUGUCUCAAAAGCUCAUGGGGAAAAACCGAAGAUAGGGGCAGAGCUAAAAGAGAAAGUAGAACGCUACCUGAGAAAAGAGGAAGGGGAGGCAACAAAGCAAGCAUACCUGAACGCCAUGAUCGCCUCGGCAACAAAGUGCCACAGCUCACCACCAUCUCACCCCGAAACCCAAGGCAGGGGCAAACACUUUGGGUGAAGUAAGCGCUCGCAAGAACGCUUUAGACCAUUCCAAAAAGACGAAAGACGAGGUAGGUGACCAGACGUCUAUGCAGUUUCUGACAAGCAACCGGUGAAGGGAGGAAAGGGAUGGUACUAUGAGUACCACAAGAGUAAAAGACAUGACACCUUCAACCACUCAAUGCUUAAAAGGGAGAUCGGAGAAGAACAAUUGGAAGGGACCCUCGUCGAGAUAGCACGAAACCCCCGUGCAAAGUUUGAUGCCGAGAAUGCCAAAGACAUACCUGAUGGGUUUUGGACAUAAGAACUUUACCUAUGUGCACAUACAACCCUAUAGCUUGGAUCUAGGUUUCACUAAUUGAACAUGCUAUAAUUCCAAGACUUUCAUGGCUAGAUCUAAGAACAAAACAUAUGAAAAGAGAUCUAGAUUAAUACCUUGAGUUACUUGCUUGAAACCUUCUUCUUCUUGGAGCUAAGAGUCACAAAUGUCACUCCUCUAAUGGCUUACAAACACCAACUAGCAAGAAGGUGACUUGAGAGAGAUGAGGAAGAGGGAAAUCGGCUCUAGGGUUUCUCCAAUCACAAUAAUGGCCGAUUUCCUCAACUCUAUGGGUCUAUUUAUACUGUGAGCUCCUAGGGUUUCACCCUUAAACCCUAAUUGGAUAACUUAGCCUCAAAGCAAUCCAAAUCCCUUCCUAGAUAAGGCCUUGGACGAUUUCUAGGUGAUCCAUAUCCCUAAAAUCGUCCAACCCUAUAUCCAUAAGGAUUAUCAGCUCAAAAUACAACUUUCAUACAUUUGACAGUUUAUACCCCUUUAUUCAAUUAAUCUCUUUAAGUCACCAAAUUAAUUCCUAAUUAAUUUAUGACUUAUAUUAAUCAAAUAAUAUUAUUAUUCUUUUAAUAUAUUAUUCUUAUAAUAUAUUAAUUAUAAUAUCUCUUCUCUCUAAAUCACCCUGUCAAGUUGCUAUGGUGAAGGCAACCCAAAAGGACCUUGCACAAUCGGGUCAAGUACUUACCAAAUAUAGUUACAACCUUAGACACUAAUCCAACAGUCUCCCACUUGGAUAAGUCUAGUAACUAUAAACGCAAACACAAUCCGAUUAGCAAUCGUAGCUCUCAAAGACGCUGUCAACUCUGAUCUUAUCAGUAACCUGUCCUUUAGAUAAGGGAUCGUACAGUCCUCUGUUUUGAUAUCGUGCAGACGAUUUCAUGAGACAUUGUCAUACUCAUUGUCCAGCAACUAUUUUCUCGAUCUCAGAUUUAUUUGACAUAGAACUUAAUUGAACACAUCAAUUCAGUCCUGACCGGGCCCGACACAUAAGUCAAAUCAAAUCAUCGAGCGGUCGUGAUAUCGCUUUUACCCUCUUAGGAUAAAAGUAACAGAUAAACUUCGACUUAUAUGCAUUUACUUAUCCACUAAUCAACUAUACACAACAAUGCGUUUUAUAACAUCAAUUUACUGAUGCGGUUUCGCAUUAUCAAUGUACAACCAAUUAGUAAAUAAUAAACCAUAUAUCUAGGUUUUAAGACCAUAUGAUAUUAUCGUCUUGCGAUCACUCCAAAGUGAUUCCAGCAAGCGCGGGUUUAUUCCAAUGCUCAAAACUUGUUCAUAAGCACUCAUGAACGUUGCAGCAAACCUUUGCUAUGUCUAAUACCAUUUAGACAAUCUACACACCAAUUCAUGACAAUCUUCAUUCAUACCUACUUCCAACAUAUGAACGAUUGUGGACAGUUUGAAUAAUUCGAUUAUUCUUAAUAAACUCAAUUAUUCUGGAAGUCAAAACAUGCAAAGUGAAACAAUAGUUAAACAAUUAACAUAAGACAGUAACAUUACUCAUAAAUAAUACUCUUUUAUUUAAUCAUCAAAUGUUAAUUACAUUUAUCUAUUACACGUUUCUAAUACUAUCUAAUCUAUACUAAUAUCAUCCUUCAGCCCAAUACUCCUAGCAUGCUGCAAGUGCUUAACCCUGCUCAGUCCCUUCGUAAGCGGAUCUGCUGGGUUAUCUUCUGAUGAUAUCCUCUUCACUACGAGUUGUCCUUCUUCUACACGAUGUCUAAUAAAGUGAUAUUUUCUGUCGAUAUGUCGAGAUCUACCAUGAUCCCUCGGUUCCUUGGUCAAGGCAACCGCUCCUUCAUUAUCACAGAAAAUCUCCAUGGGCUCCUUUAUGGCAGGUACAACUCCAAGAUCACCGAUGAAGUUCUUCAACCAUAUUGCCUCCUUCGACGCUUCGCUCGCUGCAAUGUACUCUGAUUCGCACGUUGAAUCAGCUACGGUUUCCUGCUUGGAACUUUUCCAAGUUACUGCUCCUCCAUUCAGGGUAAAGACCCAGCCCGACUGCGAACGGUAGUUGUCCCUGUCGGUCUGAAAGCUGGCGUCACUAUACCCUCGCACCUUCAAGUCAUCACUCCCUCCGAGGACUAAGAACCAUUCCUUCGUCCUCCGAAGGUACUUAAGGAUAUUCUUCACCGCAAUCCAAUGGGCUCUGCCAGGAUUCCCUUGAUAUCUGCUAACCAUGCUCAAAGCAAAGGCUACAUCAGGGCGAGUACAAGUCAUAGCGUACAUGAUUGAGCCAACUGCGGAAGCGUAUGGUACUCGGCUCAUUUCUGCUAUCUCAGCUUCGGUACUCGGACUUUGAGUCUUACUCAAUUUGGCAUUACUUUGUAUCGGUAAUUCUCCCUUCUUUGAGUUUUCCAUACUAAAACGUUUUAGUACCUUCUCUAAGUAAGUAUUCUGACUAAGUCCAAUUAGUCUCUUACUUCUUUCUCUUACUAUCCUUAUUCCCAAAAUGUAAGAAGCCUCUCCGAGGUCCUUCAUAGCGAAGCACUUCCCGAGCCAGGACUUAACCUCCUGCAGAGUCGGGAUGUCGUUUCCUAUGAGUAAUAUGUCAUCGACAUAUAGAACGAGGAAGCUUACUAUACUCCCACUGGCUUUGACAUAUACACAAGAUUCGUCUUCGCUUCGUACAAAUCCAAACUCUUUGACUUUCUCAUCGAAGCAAAGAUUCCAUCUGCGAGAUGCUUGCUUAAGUCCAUAAAUGGACUUCUCAAGCUUACACACUCUAUUCGGAUGCUUCGGAUCCACAAACCCCUCUGGCUGAGCCAUGUAAACAUCCUCAGCCAACUUUCCGUUAAGGAAAGCGGUCUUGACAUCCAUUUGCCAAAUCUCAUAAUCAUGAAAUGCGGCAAUUGCUAGCAUCACUCUAAUAGAUUUAAUCUUCGCAACUGGUGAGAAGGUCUCAUCAUAGUCAACUCCGGGAGUUUGAGUAAAGCCCUUCGCAACCAAUCGCGCUUUAUAUGUGUGUACGUUUCCAUCCACGUCGGUCUUCUUCUUGAAGAUCCAUUUGCACCCAACGGUCUUACGUCCGGGCACAUAAUCAACCAAAUUCCAAACUUGGUUAUCAUACAUGGAUUGGAUCUCGCUAUCCAUUGCCUCUUUCCAUUUUGCAGACUCCGGGCCUGCCAUGGCUUCCUUAUAGCUAUUAGGUUCAUCAAGAUUUAUUAGUGUACCAUCACUAAUAUACGUGUCCCCUUCGGUAGUAAUAUGAAAACCAUAAAACUGGGGUUGAACUCUAACUCUAUCGGAACGUCUAAGAGGUAAGGAUUCGUCAAUCGGUUCAACCGGAGUUUCCUCCUCGGGUUGAGUGCCAGCGGUAGAGGUUCCUUCAUCUAUCGACUCUUGAAUCUCUUCAAGCUCGAUUUGCCUCCCACUGUCUCCUUGGCUUAUGAGUUCUCGCUCUCGGAAAACUCCUCUCCUCGCAACGAAGACAACAUUGUCCUUCGGUCUAUAGAAGAGAUAUCCAAAGGAUGUCUGCGGGUAGCCGAUGAAAAUACAUCGCUCACUUCGAGGUUCAAGCUUGUCGUGAGUAUCUCGUCUUACGAAAGCCUCGCAACCCCAAACCUUGAUAUGUGCCAACGAGGGAGCUUUCCCUGUCCACAUCUCGUGAGGUGUUUUGGCAACCUUCUUAGUAGGGACUCGGUUAAGGAUAUGGGCGGCAGUCUCUAAGGCAUACCCCCAAAAAGAGAUAGGUAGUGAAGCACGACUCAUCAUAGAGCGAACCAUAUCCAAUAAGGUUCGAUUACGCCUUUCUGCCACACCAUUCAACUGCGGUGUCCUAGGAGGCGUCAAUUGCGAAACUAUUCCACACUCCUUGAGAUAAUCGUGGAAUUCAAGACUUAGGUACUCUCCUCCUCGAUCGGAUCGAAGCAUCUUGAUUUUCCUGCCCAAUUGAUUCUCCACUUCAUUCUUGAACUCUUUGAACUUUUCAAAGGUUUCUGACUUUUGCUUGAUUAAGUAGAUAUACCCAUAUCUACUAUAGUCAUCGGUAAAAGUCACAUAGAAGCGGUUCCCAUCCUUCGUGGUUGAUCUAAACGGUCCACAUACAUCGGUAUGUAUUAGGUCCAAUAGACCCUCGCCCCUUUCACAUGUACUCGUGAAGGGUGACUUAGUCAUCUUUCCAAGCAAACAAGACUCGCACGUGUCAUCUUCCCUAAGGUCGAAUGACUCCAACACUCCAUCCUUUUGGAGUUGGGCUAUGCGCUUCUUGUUGACAUGUCCAAGACGACAAUGCCACAAAGAUGCCUUAUCCAUACUAUUGGAAGAAUCUAUACACAACACAUCAUUUCCUAGGUUAUCUACAACCAUAACAGUCUCAUAAAUUCCAUUACAAGGCAUUGCUUCAAAGUAUAAAACACCAUUUAGAUAAGCAUAAAUAGAACCAUUCCUAUUAUUAAACGAAUAUCUAAAUCAUUGUCUAAAAAAACCAUGAAAUGAAAUGAUGUUUCUUGCCAUAUCAGGCGAGUAGCAACAAUUAUUUAAAUCUAGACCUAAUCCAUUACUAAGCACUAAAGAAUACACUCGAAUCUUGGUGACAGGCGACGAUCUUCUAUUUCCCAUGAUUAGAUUUAUUCUUCCUUGCUCCACAUCUCUAUUUCUUCUUAGUCCCUGCAAAUCAGAGCAAAUAUGGUAACCACAUUCUGUAUCAAGAACCCAAGAAAUAGUGUGAGAUGAAUUACUAGAUUUAAUUGUGUAUAUACCUGCAAAAGAUGGCUUGAUCUUUCCCUCUUUGAUGGCUUGCAGGUAUUCCGGGCAACUUCUCUUCUAAUGCCCUAUCUUGUGGCAAUGAUGGCACUCUGCCUCCUUCGGGUUAGGGUUGGGCUUAGCAGGAUCAACUUUGGUCCCACUAGAGGAGGAACCAUCUUGGGACUUUCCCUUGCGGUGGCUCUUUGACGGAGCCUUCCUCUUUUUGCCCCUUCCCUGCCCUAUAGCCAAAACAAGGGCAGCGGUUGGUGCGGGAGAUGGUGCAACAGACUUGUCCUUUAGGUUGCUCUCAGCAGUCCUAAGGAGUCCUUGGAGCUUGCUUAGGGUGACCCCUUCCUUGUUCAUUUGGUAUAUCAUCCUAAAUUGGCUGUAGCAUGAAGGCAAGGAAUGAAGAACAAUGUCGAUGGCCAAACCCUCUCCAAAGUUAACAUUUAACUUGCGAGGACGGUCAACAUAUCGUUGCAUCUUUUGCAAGUGCACAGUCAACGAUUCUCCAUUUCCCAUCUUAGCGGUGAUCAUAUUAGUGAUGAUCUCGUAGCAUUCUUACCUCGCACUUUGGUGGUACCUCUCCAUCAAGUCUUGAUGCAUUUCAUACGGAUACAUGUCCUCAUAGGACUUUUGGAAUUCUUGGUUCAUUGUGGCUAUCAUGAUGCAAUGUACUUUCGUUGCAUCACGUUCGUGUGUAUCAAAGACAGCCAUCUCCUCGGGAGUAGCGAUUUAUGGGUUGACCUUCUUGAGCUUUUCGUCGAGGACAUACUCUUUGUCCUCAUAGUGUGCAAUGGUACGAAUGUAUCUUAUCCAUUCGCUAAAGUUGGUACCAUCGAAGGUCACCUUUUGGCAAAGACUCAUUAAGGUGAAUGAGUUGGCAGCAGCGUUGUUUGCGUUCGACAUCUACAAAUAGAAAGGACAAAGUUUGAUUAGAAUUUGGAUCCCUAAUUAAACACCCAAAAUGAAAAAUUAGGGCUAGGACCCAACAACAUUAUUCACAUAUUAGAAAAGGGAUGCCGUAAUCCAAUCAUGCAAAUAAUUUGGAGGUAAGUGAAUGACGAUUCACUAAUUCUUCACCACAAAAACAUAACUUUAAGUUUUAUUGAGAAUUCCUAGAUUUUAGAGAUUCAGUGAACCUUUCAAUGGCAUGUUUAAAUCCCGAUAUGCCCCUCUAGUUUGUGACUGGGAUACCGAGGAUCACAAAGCGGGUGUGAAUUACCAUGCAAAUCUACAUGGUGCCUUCAUUGUUACAAUCAUCUAUUCGAUGUGCCGGUAAACCACACACGCUCCAUCGAACUAUGAUAAACAAUGAAUCACCCUUUGCCACCUUUGCUUAGAACCAAUUAGUGUGCUGGUAAACCACACACGCUCCACUAACUUCUUAGCAAGGGUGCAAAGUGCAAUUUCAUGGGAUUGCAUCAAUUCACUUUUCCUAAAGUAACUAAGAUUG